CAUUAUUGACUGAAGAUGAUAAAUGCAUAUCUUGGCUUAACAAACAAGCCCCCAAAUCUGUCAUCUAUGUGAGCUUUGGUAGCAUUGUCAACUUUGAUAAGGAAGAACUAAUUGAGAUAGCAUGGGGACUAUCCAACAGUAAACAACCCUUCCUGUGGGUGGUUAGGCCUGGUAUGGUUCGUGGCUCAGAAUGGAUUGAAUCAUUGCCAAAUGGGUUUGAGGAGAGUGUGGGAGAAAGAGGUUGCAUUGUGAAAUGGGCACCUCAAAAGGAAGUGUUGGCUCAUGCUGCAGUUGGUGGAUUUUGGACCCACUCUGGGUGGAAUUCAACCAUUGAGAGUAUUUGUGAAGGGGUACCAAUGCUAUGCAGACCUUUCUUUGGAGACCAACACUUGAACACAAGUUCCAUCUGUAAUGUUUGGAAAAUAGGCUUGGAAUUGCAGAAUCUCGAAAGAGGGAAUAUAGAAAGAACAAUAAAAAGACUACUGGUGGAUAUGGAAGGAAACGGUAUCCGAAAGAGAGCUAUAGAUCUGAAGGAGAAGGCUGCUUUUUAUCUAAUGGAAGAGGGUUCUACAAGCUGUUCUUUGAACAAGUUAAUAAAGCAUAUAUUAUCUGUUUAAGAAACAUGAAAUCAAACCUCCUUGUGGUUGUACUUUCAGUUUAUGUCAUGUCAUUGUAAUUUGUGUCUUUUUAGUAAGAUGGCAUGUAGAAAAAGCACAAACAUUUGAAGAAUAAACAUGGUACAAUACAUUUCUUUUAUAGUUGUUGUAUGUUUUACGGUUUGAAACUGGUGGAGGGGAGAGUGAUAUCAGAAUUAAACCUUUCUAACAGUAAUAACUUCAGUAUUUGAACUUCAUAAAUUCACUUUUUCAUCUUUCAACUAAUUUUUGGUUUUAUUAAACAUUUUACAUUAUUAACAAACAAAAACAUAAAACAGAUUUCAUUAUUUUAACAUAUUUAAGCCAACAGCUCAAAAUUGAUUCAAAGCUGUAAACCAGAAAUCUCAAUGGCUUUGACUUUAGGCUUCUUCACUUCCUUUUUAGGAAUAGUAACAGUAGGAAUCCUUUUUUUUUAAGGGUUGAUUCCCAAUUGUCCAAUUUAGAGUUUGGAUGUUUUUUGAAAAAGGACUCUCAAUUGUACAUAGACUUUAAUCUUGACUGUCGAUGUAACUCAAUUUGUAUCGUUGAUUUUGGGGAGAUAAACUAUAAAUAGAGGCCUCCCCUUCAUUUUUAUUCAAUCAUUCUUGAGUUAAGAAUAAAUGGAGAGUAUUUAUUCAAACAUUUGGUGUGCAUUUUUUUCUUGUGACUUUUCAACACUUUUGUUGUUAUUUCUAUUUCGAGAGCCAGGCUGACUUAAGUGCAUUUGAAGCGAAGAAAUUGUCCAAUGCCACACAUAUUACAAGGCUAAAGCUCUAACCUCGUGACACUUGUACCAAGAAAUACGCAUGAUAGAACUCGACAAGCUCAGGGUUCUCCCCCUUCAACAAUCAAUGAAUAAGCAAUAUAUAGUUAUUGAACAACCAAGGGCCACUCGAAAGCAUCUUUCGUAGAUCAAUGACAUGGUAAAACUGAAAUCCCCAAUAGGCAUUAUACUUGCCCCUAGAAGCGACCGCCCGAGAUAAAAGAGGUUUCUCUCUAUAGCGACAAAAUUAAUUGACCUCUCGCCGAGAAACUUACCAAUCAAACAAAAAUCGUAAUUGAUAUUCCUCCCCCAACGCUUCCUCCGACUCAACCACUAACGUCAAGUCCUCCUAAUCCUAUAAGACAUCCUCCUUUCGAGUCAUCAGCACACAAGACAAAAGAACUAAAACCUGUACUGUAGAAGCCCAAAUUUGUUGGCCCAGUAAAAAUAAAAACAAUGGCCCAAAUUACACUCAACAGGCCCAAAAAUAAAAAAUCCUAGCCCAGGAAACUAAAAAUUUUCAGCCAAACCCUAAGUCCCCUAGCGCCGCAAGCUUCCAUGCGUGGCCUCCUCGUCUGCCACACCUCCAACGCACGCCUCUGCCACUGCAUCUGACACCUCGGCCGCCUCUACCACUGCUACCUGCAAGGAAAGGUGAACACGCAACAACCAAGAAGCCAAGCACAAGCAGACAACAGAAACAAACAAAAAUAGUAGAAUAGAGAGUUGUUCAAAUCGGCUAUAAAGGCCUAGAUCAGAUCCUUGUAUUUUUUUCCGCACAUAAAUCAAUCAAAACUCAGAAAUCGAAUUCCAAAGGUUGAUUUUAGACUAUUCUCUCCAUUUUUCUUUUGAUAUUUUUUCUAUUUAUUUAUUUUCUCUUUUUUCUUAUUUUUCUUUCAAAUCCAUUUUAAAAUAAUUAACAAAAGGGAUAAAAAAAGGGGAAAAGGGAAUCAACUCACCUGAAUCGGCCCCCUGAGUCUGUCGUCGUCAUCGGCCCUUCGCCGUCGCCGGACGCGGGUAUAGGGAGGGGCCAAAGCUUUUCUUCUUCCCCGCGUUUCCCUGUUCCAUGGCCCCGAUCUCGGAAUGCGCUUCAACGCAAGGCUUGAAGGCGCCCUUGCAUGGCUCCGGCCACCAGGUAGAGGAGGCGUGACGGCGGUGGGGUUCCAAGGCUAGACCUGGAACCCUAGCAGAGAAAGGGGACUUGAAUUUUAAAUUUUUUUUGUGUUCUUUGACAGCAAAUGAAACAGCAGAAAAAAGCAAAAAUUUUUAGUUUUAUAGUAAUUAAAACGGAGCCGUUUGAAGGGGGUGACCUGCGCCUUUUUGCCCUAAUGGGUAAUUUGCGCAUUCUGUCCCUCCAUUUGGCGCUGAGGUGCAAUCUGACCUUUUUAUUAUUUUCGAUUUUGGCCACAUAAUUUGGCGCCUAUUCCAACCUAGUCCUGCACAAAACGAUGCGCAUAAGGGACGGGGAAUUUUCACAAUUGGUCUCUUGAUUUUGAGCACGUUUCAUUUCAAUCAUUGACAAUCCCUUUUUAUUUAUUUACAGUUUGGACCCCCGAAUUUUGGUUUGAUUUUAAUUUCAUCCUUUAGUUCAUUUAAUUAAUUUAUGUUUUUUAAAAGAAAAUGGGAGUUCCUCUAUUAUUUAUUUUAAGUUAUGUAUAUAUAUAUAUAUAUAUUAUUUACCUAAUAUCUUUCUUAUUAUUUGUAUUAUUUGAUUUAAGUCAUUAUAUAUACACAUACAUAUUUUUUAUUAAUUUAUAUACAUAUACAUACUUAUGUAUAUUUCUUAUUAUAUCAUAUAAUUUAUAUAUAUGUACAUAUUCUUUAUUUAUUAAAUAUAUUUUUUAUAUUUCAUAUUUUCUACAUACAUAUAUAUACUUAUAUAUUUACAUAAUUUAAUUCAUAUACCUAUACAUGUAUGUACAUACUUACAUUAUUUUAUUUUUAUAAUAUACAUAUUUAUAUCUUUUUUGUCUUUAUAUAAUAUAUAUACACACAUGCAUAUUUUCUUUAUAUAUAUGUAAUUAUGUUUCAUAUUUUAUAAUUCUUAUACAUAUACAUAUAUAUAUACGUAUAGACAUACAUAUUUUCAUUAUAUAUACAUACCUACAUAGUUUUUUGUAUUUUAAAUUUUUUAAAAUUCAUACAUACAUUUUUAAAAUUUUUAUAAUUUUAUUCAUUUCUUUAUUAUCAUUAUUAUUUUACUUUAUGUUUAUUUAUUUAUUUAUAUGUCCAUAUUAUUUUAAAAAAAUGUUUUAGUUUUUAUUUUGUUUAUUUACUUGUUAUUGUAUAUAAUUGAUUUGUUUUUUAUAUAUUUAUUUUGUUAUUUUUGCUCGUAUUAUUUUUACUCGCAUUAUCAUAAUUGUUAUUCCGUCACAUAUAAUUUUUACCCAAAUUCAUAAAAAAGAGAAAUUUUAAGAAUAAAGGCAAUACUCGGUAUUUAGGAUUUUCGAGAAUAUUGAGCCCUAACGUAUUAGGUUCCAAUUUUCUUCGUUAAAUCUAAAUAAUCGAGAAUGCUCUUUAAUAUAUAAAAAAAACAUAAAUAAAAAGUUCAUUAUCGCGAAUUCAAUACAUUGUGUCCUAACGCAUUGGAUAUGACACGUUUUCUCGAGACGAGGAUUUUUUUCAAAAAAAUAAUAAAGGCAAUAUUCCGUAUUUAGAAAUUUGAGAAGUCGUGCCCUAACUUACUGGGUUUCGAUUUUUCUCGCGUUAAAUCUAAAUAAGCAAAUAUCCUUUUAAAAUUGAAAUAAAUGAGGUUUAAAUAAAAAAUAAAAGGCAAGCUUACUCUAAAAAAUACGAGGUGUCGUGUCCUAACUUACUGAAUGUGACAUCUUGUUACUUCGAAAUAAUGGGACAUUUUUCAUUUUGAUUUAUUCGAGUAAUUUUAAAACAACACAAUAUAAAGAGGGAUCGUAUUUUUAAAUUCUUUUCGAGUUUUUAAUUUUCGACACUAAGACAUUAAGUAAUCAACUAGGUACCAAUUUUGGGCGUUACGAGGGUGCUAAUCCUUCCUCGUACGUAACCGACUCCCGAACCUAUUUCUUUGAUUUUCGCAGACCAAAUGCAUUGUUUUAAUAAAUUUAAAUCGUUUAUUAAAAACAACCGUUUUACGAGGUGACCCGAUCACACCUCAGCAAAAAAGAUUGGUGGCAAUUCUUAUUUUCGUUUUUAUUUUUAAAAUCCAAGUCGACCCCGUUUAAUCAAAAAUGGUGUCAACAGCUUGACGACUCCGCUGGGGACGCAAAAUAAGAGAGUCAAGCCAUGUGUUGAUUAUUUCUUGUCUUUUUUUCGAAAGUUGAAAAUUCGAUUUAAAUUUAUGAUCCUCUCAUUGCAUUUCAUCUGUUUUGAGUUAUAGUUUUCAUCAUGUUUUGUAGUUUAAUUCUUUAUAUCUGUACACAUUGCAUUGCAUGACCGUGAGUCACACCCUUUUAAGUGGGAGUGAGAAACUAGUCCUUCGUGAGGUUUUCACCUCCGUGUAGGAUAGUGGAUCGCUUCCGGGAUACAUAUGUACCUAUGUCUUCGUGAGAUUUUCAUCUCCGUGUAGCCAUAGGGAAAUGUAUUCCCCUGAACUAAACUCGAUCCAUAUGAGCCUAUAAUGAGUGAGGAUCGAGUAAUCUGCUGGUUCGGGUACCUUUGCUUUAGAGCCGAACCGCAUGUAGAAGACUUUAAGAACCUACCCUAGGUAGAACCACGCCAAACCCUAGUGGUCACCCGAAUAGAUGCUCUAUUUGUUUCUUUCUUACUUACGUUUGCUUUGUACUAGCCCGUUUCGUUUUGUUUCGGUUAUGAUUGCAUUGCAUUAUAUUGCAUUUUUCAUCAAAUAGAAAAGAUGUGCUGAUUCACGUUCAAGUAUCUAAGUAGAGAGCUUGUCAUAAGAAAAUGAGUUUCUUGAUAAAAUGGAAGACAAUGCGGUCGUCCGAAUAUGGUCCGAGAAAACAUAACGAGGGAAGGGUGAUAGUCUAGUGAAUGAGUACAUGACUUUGCCUCGUUGCCCGAAGUCUCAAGCUAACAAAGACUAUUCGAGAGCAGCCAAUGUUCCAACUCUCUUAUGGGAGCCAACGAGCAUCACGAGAAUAAGUGAACAAUGGGUCGCAGCUCGGAUCAAGUAAAAAGAAGAUAGAGGAGGUGCCCUUUGAAGAGUUUUCGAGAUUCAAUCUUACAUACGUAUUUGAAGAAAAGGAUUGAUGUCUUUACUUCGAGUAUUAGGACAAUGUCGUAUAUGUAAAUAUCCGUUAUAUGUAAAAAGAUUUAUUUUCUAGAAAAGUUUUUCUAAUAGAAUUGAAUCAAGAUCAACGCCUCUUUUUGCAUUCAUGCAUCUGCAUUACAUUUCAUUGCAAGCAUCUUUUCAUUCAUUAACAUUAAAUUUCAUUGCAUACAAUAAAUUUUCUAAAAUCCAAAAGUGCAUUGAGUUUAGAACUCUAGUACAGAGCCAGAUAGAUGAUGAAGAUUUGGAAUUCUCUGAAGAUAUCGAUGGUAUGGAAAGGAAAUAUGUUUGUGCCUUUGAAGAAGGAACUAAAAAACUAAAAAACCUAUCAGGAAUUUGUUUCUACAUCCCUAAAGGUGUUCUAAACAACUGGACUGUGGAGGAGAUUCUUGUAAUUUUUAGGACCAUUUCAGAGUAAUAUUUGGAACGCUCUUAUUGCUCUAAGCCAGGGAGCAAUAGAAAAUCCUUUUGUGAAAAAGACACAUGUCCACUAUUUUUUAUUUCAAUGAAAUGCAUCUUUGUGUCUGGUUUUGGCAAACAUUCUUUUGUUCCUUCCAUUUCAUUCAUACUCAUACCACACAGAUAAUUACCCUUUGAUUCAUUUGUUCUUUGAGUCUUCUUUCGUUCCUAUAACAGGUCUCUAGAUAUCAAUGAUAUGAGCGACACUGCUAUUGACUUAGAAUCUCCUUUUGAGCAAGAUAUGUGUCCAGAGGUACCUCAGGACUUUGAAGACGACCGAGACUGUGGUUUAUCUCUUGAUUUGUUAAGGAUGGUAGAAAAAGUCAAAACAGAUCCUACCUUACAAAAAAAAUCAACGAAGAUUGUGGGCUCAGGAGAAAAGAAAGAGGUGAAGAUCAGAGCAUGUAUCACCGCAGAGACAAAACGAGACGUCAUUAAAUUCAAAAAUGUUUUCGCAUGAUCGUCCCAAGAUAUGCCUGAGCUAUUAAGACGUGUGGACGCUGUUGAGGCUAAGAAAAUCUUAGAAGAGGUCCAUAAGGGUGUCUGAGGAACACAUGCUAAUGCUUUUGCAAUGGCCAAGCAAAUCAUGAGAUUUGGGUACUGCUAGUGCACAAUGGAAAGGGAUUGCAUCGGUUAUACCAAAAAACGCCACAAGUGCCAAAUUUACGGAGACAAGAUUUAUGUGCCUCCUUUUCUCUUCAUGUUAUGACUUUUCCAUAGACUUUCUCUAUGAGGGGCAUGGAUGUCAUUGGGCCGACCUCGCCAAGAGCUUCUAGCGAUUAUCGAUUCAUCUUUGUGGUCGUCGAUUACUUCAUAAAGUGGGUAGAUAUUGUUUCAUAUGCCAAUAUCACAAAGUUGACAAUCAGCAAUUUUCUUGAAGAAUCAUAUGUCAAUAUGAAAUGCCAAAAAGGAUCAUAUUAGACAAUGUAUUGAAUUUGAACAACCGCACGACAUCAGAAGUUUGCAGUCUAUUCAAGAUUAACAGCAUGUCGCCCCAAAAUGAACGGUUAAGUGGAAAAAAAAACCAAAAACACAAAAACAAAAAAUAAAAGAGACAAAAAAAAAUAAAAAAACCUCUACCGGGGCACCUCAUUUCUCAUUGGUAUAUGGAAUAGAGGCAGUCUUACCCAUCGAAGGUGAUAUUUCUUCCCUUCGAGUCUUGUCAGAGUUGAAGUUGGAUGAAACAGAAUGGAUCCAAGCCGAUAUGAUCAAUUAAAUUUGAUCGAAGAGUAAGGGUUGAAAGCUAUCCGUCAUGGUCAAAUGUACCAAAAGCGAAUGAUACGAGUUAACCAAAAAAGGUUUGCUUCAGAGAAUUCCAUGAGGGGGACCUGAUAUCGAACAAGAUCCUUCCCAUACAAAAGGACUUCAGAAGAAAAUGGAUGUCAAACUAGAAAGGACCUUAUGUGGAAGGCCUUAUCUGAAGAAGCGUCGAUAUUGACCAAGAUGGAUGGCAAGAACUUGCCUAAUCUUGAGAUUUCUGAUUCAAGCAAUAAACACUUCACUUGAAAAAAAACAAACGAAAAAAAAGGAAAAGAAAAAAAAGAAAAAUGAGAGGCCAAUGUGAAAACCCGCAAAGGGCGCCUUGAGACCAAAGGGGUUUUGAAUUGAAAACCCAGUAAUGGACAGUUCAAAUUUUUAUCAAAGGUGGGGCAUGCGGUAGUCUUGUCCUCUCUGAAUUAAUAAGAAGGAGAGAUGCUACAUCUUGGGACAUCAACAAAGUCUUCUAAGACUUCUAAACACAUAUCAAGUUCAAAAGGGUCCUCAAGAAGUUUGGGGCAGAGAAGCUCAUACUACGAUAUCUGGGGCACCUAUUUCCAUUUUAUUCAUUUUUUGUAUUUUUAACAAAAUACGCCAUCUUGAUUAAUUUAUUCUCAUUUGUGUUCUAGCAAAAUUUUCUAUCUUGAUUGAUUCAUUCAUUUCGAGCUGUGUUCUCAACAAAAUUUCAUAUUGUCCAUUUUGAUAAUCUUUUUCAAGCAUUUUUCAUUGAAAUAACGAUUACUGGACUGAUAAUAUUCAAGCAGAAGGAGUUCUGCAUAUUACUCUAAAAGCUUCUAAAUAGUACGAUGACUUGAAACAGGGCUAUUGUUUAGAAUUAACUAACUUAAGGGUUAGAAGCAUUGGAGAAAGAAUAGUCUAAAUUGCGAUUAUUUCUUUGGUUUUUCUGUCAAAGAUACCAGCUGAACAAGAGGGCAUGGUAACACGUCAGUGAUAAAACCUUGAUGAAUAGCGAGUAAUGACAACCUAAGCAUUAAAAAAGGGAUCAUUCUCAUGAAAUUCUACACUCAUACGAAUAUCAUUCAUACAUAUCUAGUUAGGAGCAUUUGAUUCAUUCUAAUCAUGACAUCCUAAACACUAGGCAUAAAUUGGUCCAUGAAAUGGAUUUUAUAGAUCAUGUUCCCCAGAGAAUAGAUCAAUGGAAUUACGCAUACCCCUGAGGUUGCAAUUAAAAAGAUUGAAGCCACAAUGGCGAAUCUUCCUUCCCUGAUAUUGCAAUUUAGCAGAUUAAAGCUACGACAGCAAAUCUUGCUUCCCUGGCAUUGCAAUUAAAAAGAUUGUAGCCACAACGGCGAAUCUUACUUCCCUGGCAAUGCAGUGGAUCAGAUUGAAGCUACAACGGUGAAUCUUGUUCCUCAACAUUGCAAUUAAAAAGAUUGAAGCCACCACGACGAAUCCCAUUUCCCUGGCAGUACAGUAGAGCAGAUUAAAGCAACGACGGUGAAUCUUGCUUCCCUGAUAUUGCAAUUUAGUAGAUUAAAGCUACGAUGGUGAAUCUUGCUUCCCUAACAUUGCAAUUAAAAAGAUUGAAGCCGCAACGGCGAAUCUUACUUCUCUGGCGAUGCAGUGGAUCAGAUUGAAGCUACAAUGGUGAAUCUUGUUCCCCGACAUUGCAAUUAAAAAUAUUGAAGCCACAACGGCAAAUCUCACUUCCCUAGCAGUACAGUAGAGCAGAUUAAAGCUACGACAGCGAAUCUUGUUUCCCUGAUAUUGCAAUUUAAAAUAUUGAAGCCGCAACGACGAAUCUUACUUCAUUGGCAGUGCAGUGGAACAGAUUGAAGCUACAACGACGAAUCUUGUUCCCCGACAUUGCAAUUAAAAAGAUUGAAGCCACGACGGCGAAUCUUACUUCCCUAGCGGUGCAGUGGAGCAGAUUAAAGCUACGACGGUGAAUCUUGCUUCCCUGACAUUGCAUUUAAAAGAUUGAAGCCGCAACGGCGAAUCUUACUUCCUUGGCGGUGCAGUGGAGCAGAUUAAAGCUACGACAGCGAAUCUUGCUUCCCCGACAUUGCAAUUAAAAAGAUUGAAGCCGCAACGACGAAUCUUACUUCCCUUGCAGUGCUGUGGAACAGAUUGAAGCUACAACGGUGAAUCUGGUUCCCCGGUAUUACAGUUUAAAAAGAUUGAAGCUAUACUCACAGAUCUUAUCUCUCUGAAGUUGCAGUAGAGCAGAUCGCAUCAAGUCUUAUCUCCCUAAGCAGUAGUGGAGCAGACGAAAGAAACCAAUCCUAUCUCCCUAAAGUUGCAGUGGAGCGGAUUAAAACCACAUAUCUUAUCUCUCUGAAGUUGCAGUAGAGCAGAUCGCAUCAAGUCUUAUCUCCCUAAACAGUAGUGGAGCAGACGAAAGAAACCAAUCCUAUCUCCCUGAAGUUGCAGGUGGAGCGGAUUAAAACCACAGAUUUUAUCUCUCUGAAGUUACAGUAGAGCAGAUCGCAUCAAGUCUUAUCUCCCUAAGCAGUAGUGGAGCAGACGAAUGAAACCAAUCCUAUCUCCCUGAAGUUGCAGUGGAGCAGAUUAAAACCACAGAUCUUAUCUCUCUGAAGUUGUAGUAGAGUAGAUCGCAUCCAGUCUUAUCUCCCUGAAGUUGCAGUGGAGCAGACAAAAGAAACCAAUCCUAUCUCCCUGAAGUUGCAGUGGAGCAGAUUAAAAAACCAGAUCUUAUCUCUUUGAAGUUACAGUAGAGCAGAUCACAUCCAAUCUUAUCUCCCUGAAGUUGCAGUGGAGCAGCAAAAAAAAUCCUAUCUCCUUGAAGUUACAGUGUAGCGGAUUAAAAUAAUGAAUCUUAUACCUCUAAAGUUGCAGUAGGUCGAAUUAAAUCUUAUUAUAUCAAACCUUAUCUCCCUGAAGUUGCAGUAGAGCAGAUUGAAGAUUCAAGUCUUAUCUCCCUGAAGUUGCAGUGGAGCAGACUAAAGAUACCAAUCUCAUCCCCAUGGAGUUACAGCAGAGUAGAUUGAAGCUACAAGUCGUAUCUGAAGUUGCAGUAGAGUGGAUCGAAGCAACAAGGCACAAUGGAUUGGAAAAAGGCUACUUGAAGAAGAGAAACACCCAAGAAAGUCAAGCCUCGGCGAGACUAGGCAAAUUUGGUCCUUCUUAGUCUUUACUCUGUUCUCGUUACACCAAAAUGAGCAAAGAGGGGCAGCUGUAGAAGCCCAAAUUUGCUGGCCCAGUAAAAAUAAAAACAAUGGCCCAAAUUAUACUCAACAGGCCCAAAAAUAAAAAACCCUAGCCCAGGAAACUAAAAAUUUUUAGCCAAACCCUAAGUCUCCUAGCGUCGCAAGCUUCCAUGCGUGGCCUCCUCGUCUGCCACACCUCCAACGCACGCCUCUGCCACUGCGUCUGAUACCUCGGCCGCCUUUACCACUGCUACCUGCAAGGAAAGGUGACCACGCAACAACCAAGAAGCCAAGCACAAGCAGACAACAGAAACAAGCAAAAAUAGUAGAAUAGAGAGUUGUUCAAAUCGACUAUAAAGGCCUAGAUCAGAUCCUUGUAUUUUUUUUACGCACAUAAGUCAAUCAAAACUCAGAAACCGAAUUCCAAAGGUUGAUUUUAGACUAUUCUCUCCAUUUUUCUUUUUGAUAUUUUUUCUAUUUAUUUAUUUUCUCUUUUUUCUUAUUUUUCUUUCAAAUCCAUUUUAAAAUAAUUAACAAAAGGGAUAAAAAAGGGGAAAAGGGAAUCAACUCACCUGAAUCGGCCCUCUGAGUCCGUCGUCGUCAUCGGCCCUUCGCCAUCGCCGGACGCGGGUAUAGGGAGGGGCCAAAGCUUUUCUUCUUCCCCUCGUUUCCCUGUUCCAUUGCCCCGAUCUCGGAAUGCGCUUCAACUCAAGGCUUGAAGGCACCCUUGCAUGGCUCCGGCCACCGGGCAGGGGAGGCGUGACGGCGGUGGGGUUCCAAGGCUAGACCUGGAACCCUAGCAGAGAAAGGGGACUUGCAUUUUAAUUUUUUUUGUGUUCUUUGACAACAAAGGAAACAGCAGAAAAAAGCAAAAAAAAUUAGUUUUAUAGUAAUUAAAACAGUGCCGUUUGAGGGGGGUAACCUGCGCCUCUUUUCCCUAAUGGGUAAUUUGCGCAUUCGGUCCCUCCAUCUGGCGCUGAGGUGCAAUCUGACCUUUUUAUUAUUUUCGAUUUUGGCCACAUAAUUCGGGGCCUAUUCCAACCUAGUCCUGCGCAAAACGAUGCGCGUAAGGGGCGGGGAAUUUUCACAAUCAGUCCCUUGAUUUUGAGCACGUUCCAUUUCAGUCAUCGGCAAUCCCUUUUUAUUUAUUUAGAGUUUGGACCCCCGGAUUUUGGUUUGAUUUUAAUUUCAUCCUUUAGUUCAUUUAAUUAAUUUAUGUUUUUUAAAAGAAAAGGGGAGUUCCUCUAUUAUUUAAAGUUAUAUAUAUAUAUAUAUAUAUAUAUAUAUAUUAUAUAUUAUUUACCUAAUAUCUUUCUUAUUAUUUGUAUUAUUUGAUUUAAGUCAUUAUAUAUACACAUACAUAUUUUUUAUUAAUUUAUAUACAUAUACAUACUUAUGUAUAUUUCUUAUUAUAUCAUAUAAUUUAUAUAUAUGUACAUAUUCUUUAUUUAUUAAAUAUACUUUUUAUAUUUCAUAUUUUCUACAUACAUAUAUAUACUUAUAUAUUUACAUAUUUUAAUUCAUAUACCUAUACAUGUAUGUACAUACUUACAUUAUUUUAUUUUUAUAAUAUACAUAUUUAUAUCUUUUUUGUCUUUAUAUAAUAUAUAUACACACGUGCGUAUUUUAUUUAUAUAUAUGUAAUUAUGUUUUCAUAUUUUAUAAUUCUUAUACAUAUACAUAUAUAUAUAUAUAUACGUAUAGACAUACAUAUUUUCAUUAUAUAUAUAUAUAUAUACCUAUAUAGUUUUUUGUAUUUUAAAUUUUUUAAAAUUCAUACAUACAUUUUUAAAAUUUUUAUAAUUUUAUUCAUUUCUUUAUUAUCAUUAUUUUUUUACUUUAUGUUUAUUUAUUUAUUUAUGUGCAUUAUUAUUUUAAAAAAUGUUUUAGUUUUUAUUUUAUUUAUUUACUUGUUAUUGUAUAUAAUUGAUUUGUUUUUUAUAUAUUUAUUUUUGUUAUUUUUGCUCAUAUUAUUUUUACUCGCAUUAUCAUAAUUGUUAUUCCGUCACAUAUAAUUUUUACCCAAAUUCAUAAAAAAGAGAAAUUUUAAGAAUAAAGGCAAUACUCGGUAUUUGGGAUUUUCGAGAAUAUUGAGCCCUAACAUAUUGUGUUCCAAUUUUCUUCGUUAAAUCUAAAUAAUAGAGAAUGCUCUUUAAUAUAAAAAAAAUAAAUAAAAAGCUCAUUAUCGGGAAUUCAAUACGUUGUGUCCUAACGCAUUGUAUAUGACACGUUAUUUUCUCGAGACGAGGAUUUUUUUCAAAAAAAUAAUAAAGGCAAUAUUUCGUAUUUAGAAAUUCGAGAAGCCGUGCCCUAACUUACUGUGUUUCGAUUUUUCUCGCGUUAAAUCUAAAUAAGCGAAUAUCCUUUUAAAAUUGAAAUAAAUGAGGUUUAAAUAAAAAAUAAAAGGCAAGCUUACUCUCAAAAAUACGAGGUGUCGUGUCCUAACUUACUGGAUGUGACAUCUUGUUACUUCGAGAUAAGGAGGCAUUUUUCAUUUUGAUUUAUUGGAGUAAUUUUAAAAUAACACAAUAUAAAGAGGGAUCGUAUUUUUAAAUUCUUUUCGAGUUUUUAAUUUUCGACACUAAGACAUUAAGUAAUCAACUAGGUACCAAUUUUGGGCGUUACGAGGGUGCUAAUCCUUCCUCGUACGUAACCGACUCCCGAACCUAUUUCUUUGAUUUUCGCAGACCAAAUGCAUUGUUUUAAUAAAUCUAAAUCGUUUAUUAAAAACAACCGUUUUACGAGAUGACCCGAUCACACCUCAUCAAUAAAGAUUGGUGGCGACUACUGUUUUCGUUUUUAUUUUCAAAAUCCAAAUCGACCCCAUUUCAUAAAAAAAUGGUGUCAACAUGUACAAAGUAGACAAAACUUGCACUCGACACAGAUCGAUCGGCGAACAAAGAGAACAAAGAGAGCGAGGCAAGACCCUUAAAAAGUAAUUUUUAAAUUAUCAAAUAUUUUUUAAACUACAAAAUUUAUAUAUAAAAUCCUUACGUCAAAUAUUUAUAAAAGUAGUUUGUCAUUAUUGGAAUCCAUUUGACGGUUACAUAAAUCUUUCAUUCUUCACAUUAUGUAUCAGACUUGGUAAGUUUUAAAACUGGGUUAAACGCCACCAUUUCUGUCACCCACUUCUUGUAAAAAUACUAACCUUCUUUUCAGAGUGAGAUUUUACAAUUUAUCAGUAGACUACCAUCAAAUUGGAAAAAGAAUGGACAAGACUAGGUACGCGUGAACACCAGCAAGAUUCCCCAGGCAAUGGAAAAUGAAGAAAAAUUAAAAUAGCAAUCCUUCAAUUUGUUAAUAAAUAAAAUGAAAAAUGAAGAACAUGUUGCAUGAGGCACAUUAGUUAGUCAAAAGCAAUCUUCGUAAAUAAAAUGUCAUUUUCACAAAUAGAUUUGUCAACUUGAUAUGGCGAUAUUUAUUAAUAAAAAAUCCCAACGAGUUGCUUAAUGUUUGUUUUUUUUAAUAUUUUAAAUGAUGAUCAUUUUUAUUUUUUUAUAAAGAAAUUUGAUUAAAUUUUGCAUUACAGAUAAGAAAAUCCAAGGAAGUAAGUAGCGUUAGACAAUUUGUAGAUUUAUAUUUUUUAAGUGCACGUCAUUGAUAAGAAGCAAUUAAUUUAAUAAUUAAAGAAAAUAUUAAAAUGACCGAAUGAUACUCUUUCUUUCUUUUCUUUUUUUUUAAUGUUCUUAUUUGUCCAAACUUAUCAUCUUGAAUUUUUAUUAUUAUUAUUUUUCUAUAAAACGUUUAAAACUAUCUAUAACUCUUCUCCAACUCAUAUAUAAGAAGAUAAUGUGCUUCAACGCACUUGAACACAUGUCCUCCUGUAUUGGCAAUAAUAUUCAUGCUAAUCGAGCUAAAACUCAAUCAGGAUUAUAUCAAAUUAGUCUCUUUAUUAUUAAAUAGAUUAAUUUAAUCUUGUGUUAUUAAAAAGAAUUAAAUAAGAUCAUAUUAGAUAAGAGUUAGCAUUUACUGUUUAAAAAGUAACAUGAAAAUUAUUAUUUCAUUUACUGUACAACUCCAAACAAAAUAUUUCAUCUGUAGAAUCAUAAAAAGCUUUCAAAAUAUAACUUUGUUUAACACUAAAUGUUAACUUUUGUUGAAAUUUGACUUUAUUUGAUUUUUUUAAUAGUACAAAGAUUAAAUUGAUUUAUUUAAUAAUAGACGGACUAAUUUGAUCUGAUCUCUACAUUCCCCCUUAUAUUAGAGUUUAGCCGAGUGCAAUAAGUUGUGGAAUAGGAGGUAUAAAUAAAAGCUUGUAUGUAUUAGAGUUUGGCCCAAUAAAUAUAAACAACUCCAGAACAUUCGAGUUAGGGUGUGUUUGUUAAAACUGAAAAUUUAAGUGCUGAAAAAUUAAGUACUAAUUUUUUGUUAGAAAAUUGUUUGGUAAAUUAGUAAAUACAAGUACUGAAUAUAAUUGCCAACAACCUCUUGGCCCAGUGUUAAGAGUAGUAUGUUGUAGGCAUGAAAGCCUGAGUUUGAAUAUAGUUUUGGAUGAAAGAUAAAUAUAUUAAUUUGAAUAUUUCAUUUUUUUAAAAAGAUAAUUUAUUUCAAUUUUUAAUAAAAUAAAAUCAACUUAUUCAACACUUUUUUGUUGAAAAUUUUAUAUUAAGUAAAAAAUAAUAAAAUGAUUAUCAAACAUGUUCAAAAUAUUGAAUUUUGAAAAUUUUCAUUUUCAAUGAAAUAAAAAUUUUCAAUUGUUUAUCAAACAUACCCUUAAUUCGCACCUUCAAGUUAAUUUUCCAUCUUUCUAUAAGAUGAACACUGGAAAAUGCAAGAAUCUUCUUCAGCUACUUGUAAGUAACAUGACAUAUCCUCUGUUGUCAACGUCAAAACAAUUUUGGAUCAUCUAAAACAAUUAGUAAUCUUAACACUUUCAUUCUAUCUUGUUUGAUCAUUGUUUUGUAGUGUAAAAGAAAUGGCAAUGAUCCCAAAUUUUUUCAUGUAGAAACAAUGGGGUACUUGCUUAGUAAAGAAAAACUGUGGCAAAAAAUAGUGCUUGGAACUAUGGUCGUAGUUUCAACCAUGAAACCAAUAAAGCGCAUAAACGUAAAGAUGAACACUAAGAUUGUUUACCUAGUUUGACCUCAUUCUAUGUCACCGAGGCUUUGCCCAUAGUAAUGAUCCACUAUCUUUCAACAGUACAACCAAUGAUUUAAGUCUUAACAUUGGGAUGACUCUUUCCAAUUUAGCGAUCUCACCGUUGUAUAAAGACUAGACCGCUUUCCCACUGAGCUUCUUCCUCGAAAGCUUAAUUUUGCAAUACAAGAUACUCUCUUGGUCACUUACAAAAACAACGCACACGUAAAAUGUUCCUAACUUGAACAAAUUUGUUCUCUCUCAAUCUCUCAGUAUCUUUUUAACUUAGACAAAAGUUAAGUUUAUAUACUACUUAAGUUUUGCUUACAUAAGAUCAUAGUUUAGUCAUUUUUAUAUAAAAUAAAGCUAAAAUCAGAAUAGGAUAAUCUUGGUAUAAUUCCAUAAGAAUCUCAGUGUAAUCCAAUGCCUUCAAAUAUGGAAAGUGACUUUACUUGAUCCUCAAAUAUCUAAUCUUCAAUUCUUCAGUUUUAACUCAAUUGGUCUUCAUGUUUUGGGCUUUAGCUCAUCCAAAUAUUUCCAAAGCAGAUAGUCUAAUGUUUUUGUUCUAAAAUUUGCCAACUUGGAAAAUAGGCAAGUAAACAAUGAAAUAAUGCCUCAAGCUGUGGCCACUAUUUCAACCACCGAAUUUUUUCUUGCCUUCACAUGUGUAAACGAUCUCCUCCUUUGGCAAUUUUUGAACAAAACAUAUAAAGGGAAAAAUAAAAUCACCACAAUUAGAUGUUCUCCUCUUAAGUAUCUCCCCCUUGAUCAAACAAUCUCAACUACCUCAUUUCAAAGUAAUUUAACCAUUAAUAAAGGAAUUAACACAGUAAAGACAAAAUAAUAAGCUUGUUAAUAUGAUCCAAAACAUGUAAGGGUAGGUACAAAGUUAUUAAAUUCAUGAGAAAUGGAACCUCAAGCUUUUUUCUAUUAUUUUUCCCCUAAAAAACUACUACUUCACUAGUCCACCUUUUUGUUCAAUGAUUGUAAAAGGGCCAAUGAAGUUGUCUGGCUAAGAUAUCCAACUUCAUGGCCAAUAGCUUUCUAUUGCGUAAUUUGAAAAUCUACCACUCAUUGGCAGCAAUUUCAUCAGAAAGAAACUUGAAGAGCCUUUGCUAUGCCAAAAGUUUUAGGCAUUGUUGUGUCUUCAGUAGGGGUUUCUUCUCUUGCACAUUUUCAGGGUCCAAAGGAGCAUGCCAACAUUCUAUCCAUUUGUGAGAAAACUUCAAUUCUAUAUGCAUAUUCUUAUACUUCUAAACAGUUUUGACAAUUUUAGAGUUUUGCAUAAAUAGGAUUUGAAACAUGAAAGAUGGAUAGAAGAGACUGAGCUUAUUAUAAACCUUUUUAGCAUAAUGACAGAUCUCUACGAAGAUUAAGUCCCCAAUACAUUGAGACUUUAAUUUUUGAGAAUCCAAUUUCUUGUGGCUAUGGCAUAGAGUGCAACAUAAAUUGGUUCUAGGGCUAAUGAGUGAAGUUCUGAAUAAACUAGCCAUGUGAAGUGAACUCCAUUAGUAAUUUGAGCAGCAAUAGUUUCUUUAGUUUCCCCAAAUUCCACAUUAUUAGUGUAAGGAUGGUGUAGCAAGUGUUUGAUUUGUGCAGGUUGAACUUGUACCAUUUGCCUCACACAUAUACUUUGUGAUAUAGCUUAUUGGUGGGGUCAUCAAUGCUUAAAAGCAAGUUUGUCACACUCAGUUUUCUUUAAGCCCAAAAUUUAGAAAUAAUUAGGGGUUAAAUUGAAGGAAAUCGUAAGUUAGCAGCUUAUAUUAAAAUUAAAUACUAAUUUGGACAUAGUUGAGUUCAAAUUCUGGUUUGAUUGGAUGAGAACCAACUGGUUCGUUAGUGGGAGAUAGGAUGAUUACCAAUGGAUGGUUUUUAUAGGUUUAAUAAUUGUGAAUGAAGGGCUAUAAAAAGUUGAAAAAUGAAUUCUCAAGGUGAAUUCUUCUCAAUUCUAUUUAAUUUUCUUCUUUUCUUCAUCUUCUUCUUAAUUUCUCUGAAGAAGAGAUAGUUACGAGAAUCUCUAUAUGGAGCGGUGAUCAUGAGGUUUGAGCCAGAAAAGUAGAGAAUCCAGUGAGUUGGUAAGGUUCUAAGUUCUUUAGUGUUCGUAAAUUUAAAGAAUAAAGUUAAAAAUUUUCAAAAUCUUUGAGAGAUUUUGCAUGUUUCUAGAAACUGAGUUUUUAAGCUGGAAUACUAAGUUUAAUUUAUAACUUUAGUUGUCAAGCUUAGCUGCCAGGAGAAUGGAAGCUUUGGCAUUAUGAAAAGCUAAGUUGAUAAAGCAAAUAAGCAUCAAGUGAGUUUCUAUACUCCAUACAUAGAUGUGCUUUGAAUGCUAAACUUGCAUAAGGAUGAGUAGGUAUAUGAGUAUCUACAAGUGUUUCGAUAUGCAUGAAAUGGUUGUAAUACCAUGCAUAAAUUUAGCGUACUCUAUGUUACUAUGUUAUGUGGUAAUAUGCAUGUGUCUGUGUGACUAUAAAUUGUGCAGUAUGUAGGGAAAAUUUUAAAAGGAUAUAUGGGUAAGAAAAGGGAAUUUUCUAUUAGAUUUCGUAAACCGGUGUUGCUGGAUGCAAACCGUGAUAUACGAAGCAUCGAGCUUUGCGGAAGGGACACUACGGUGUUCGAGUAUCAAGAUUAGAUGUGAGAUGAAAUGUUAAUGACUAGCUCACUAAAGUGACACCGUGAUGAUGGUCUAUCGACUCUAUGGAAUAACCUCGUGGUGGCAGUAAGGUCAUUUAGGGCAACACUUUAAAGAGGUUUAAGGUGUAAGAUCAUAGCUCGAUUAUGGCACCAAUGGAGUCUGCCAGGACAUUAAACAUAGGGCAUGAAGUGUAAGACCAUAGUUCGACUAUGACAACAUAUGAUACUCUGCUAGGAUGGUAAACAUGAAAAGAUCACUCAGGUGAUGAAAAAUAAAAAUGUUGACAAAUAACAGUUAGCCAGCAGGUUUGAGGAAUCUGCCGAAAAGGAAAAAAAAAUAGAAAUGAGAAAGAGUUUGCCAAAACGGUAAAUAGUGAGGCCAAUAUGGCAUAUGAUCUUAACCCAACUAGAAUCAAUCAUGAGAGUGAUGUGUCAAAAAUGCCUUGUAUAUGGGAAAACGGAAAAGGAUAUAUACCCGUGGAUCACAGGUAAGGAUCUGCCAUUAAGAACCAAUAGGAAGUGCUCAAAGAAACAAUGUACGGGUGAAAAGACCUUGGUAGGUUAAUGUGAGAUUCACUCCCAAUAUAAGGCUUUGAUGAAAUCAUAGUGAAACGAGGAAGUUCAAUAGUAUGUACCCCAAAUAAUCAAGUUGUAAAGAGGGGAUUAGUUGGAAGCUAAGGAUAAAAAGAGGUAUUGUUAGGGAAUUAUCCAAGUGACAGUUAUGUCUGUCAAGACUAUUCCUCUUUAAAGGGAAUCUACUGAGGGUACACCUAGCAUAAAGUUAGUUCCGUAGGGAACCAUCUUACAAGAGAAAUCGUAAACUCAAAGGUAUCACAAAUAGGAUGGAUUACGAGUACAUAAUCUAACCAACUUUUCAUCCCGAGUGUAGGGUGAAUUGAGAUUAAGUCCGUCAGAGUGGUCUAGACCCUCAUUAGUUAUCCUAUCUGAUCAGAUGUUAGAAAGUCCUUCAAGAUAAUAGUAAGAAAAGGAGUCCGCCAAGAACUAGUCAGAUUUGAAAUGUACGCCAAGGAAGAUAUAACUAAAGGGUCAUCAGGAUGGAAAUUUAGGAGGACAACCUUUUAAAUAUAUUGAGAAAAAGAUAAUGUAGGCGAAGAAAGGACAGGAUAGCUAUAGGAUCGACCAGGGAAAGAUCGUUUAUCGAUCUAUUUGCAAAUAGACAAGCUUUGACAUUGAUUCGAAUUUUGCCAUCCCAGAUUAAGAGAAAUCAUCUUAAAAUGACCAGGUUAUUAAACGCAUUUAGUUUCUUUUCAUUUCACUACCCCUACAAGAUGGGGUCUAUUUUUGGAGUAAUGCAGUAAAGAAACUCACUAAGUUCAUUUGAACUUUUAGAAUUUUGGUUUUUGUUGUAGGACUUGUUGGGUAAUUAAGAAUCUUCAGGAGGGGCCAAGUCAGAUCGUGUUAGAUUGAAGAUCAUCAUCUGUAAAAUGCCAUGCACAUAGGAAUAGGUACCUUCGGAGGCUCUGUCUCGGGGUUAAAGACAUUGUAAUUAAGUAGUUUUUCUUAUAAUUUAAUAUUUCAAAGUAGUCAAAUUAAGUGUGGCUUAAUAUUCUGUUGUAAGAAAUAUUCGAAAUAAAUUAGAAGAGUCUUUUGGCAGAUUUUUCUAAUUAAAAUGUUAAAUCAAAUUGGUUCAUUAUGAUGCUCUAUAUCGAGACUCGGGGAUCAGGUCAAGUAAGGGCAUUUAAAACUUGGCAUAGAAUUCCAACACUACUUGCAUGAAAUAAGGCUCGAAAAAUUGAAUAGAGAUCAACAUAUCAUUUUUUUUUCCAAAAUUGUGUUAAUGGCAUGAUUACCAAAGCUUUUAUCAUCGAUGUUUUUCUCCUCAAUCAUGUUGUUCUUGGUUCAAGAGGUGUACCAUUUAGUGCUAGUAGCGAUGAUGUAGGUCCUAUCAUCUGUCUAGAAUAAGUCUUCUUCAUAUUGUUUUCUCUCUUCCUUAGAAAACUUUUAUGUAUCAGCAUCUCUCAAGCUAGUAGUUGGCUACUUCGAAGAGAAAAAAGAAUGUUAGGCCUCUUUUUCUUAGCCAUACCACUAAGCAUUAGUUUCUUGAUGGGAAUAUCUUCAUCAAAGUCAGCCUCGGAUGACUUCUUAGGUUGUUUGGACGUCUUUCUUUUGGGAAUAUGUGGGGCUUUUGGUUUUCCCUUUUCUUUAACAAUGACUUUUUUAUUGACCAUUGAUCUUGUGAUUAUUUGUUGAACUGCAGAUCUUUCUUGGUUUAUGCCACCAAUUGUGGCUUCUUUCGUGAUCAUUACAUCUUCAUCACCAUCUUCUGAUUUAGGAUUGACCUUAGCUUCAAUACCAGGCUUUGUGACUUGCUUUAUUUACUCAGUAGAAACCUCUAAAAUAGGCUCAGUGAUGUUUGUGGCAUAGUUAUUAGCCAAAGAAGAUGGACUAGUGUCAGUUCCAACUUGAGGAGAAGCAUAUGUAUUAAUCAAUGGAACAAUAGAGGAAUUGGAGUUACUUUGUUCUGUACCUCAUUUAGGGACUUCAGUCGAGAUGUAGUUGGAUAAGAAACAAGAGGGUUGUUGAGGGUAUGACCUAUUUUAGCAAGAACUUGUGAAAUAGCUUUUGUCAUCAGGAAAGGUUCUUUGGGGCUUUUUUUCUAACUUUAUUGGCUUUUUACAGCGUCAUGGGACUCACCAUGUAUCGUCUUAGAUGAUUCAUCAACCUUUGGCAUGGUCAUGGGAGAAGAUGGAGAUUGUCUAGCAUCAGGAGAGAAAGUUGUGCAUGAGAUAAUGUUCAUACUUUGUGGCAUUAUUUUUAAAUUUUCAGGGACCACAACAUUAGGGACCUCAGGAUUAACAAUGGCUCCUCUUAAGCUAUGGAAUCUUCAUCAGGUGCUCCACUAGGAUGGGGAGAGGUUCCUUCAAUGUUGGUCAUUAGAGAAAUUUGGUAAGAUUUUCAAAAAAAAAAAAAGAAGAAGGUAAUAAGGAUAAUAAGUUCAACCAAAAUUUUUUAGGGUUUGGGAGAUGUAAAGAUUUGCUUUUGAAGUAAUCUUUAUUUAUAGACACUAAAUUUAUUUUAACAUGACAACUUUUAAAAUUUCUUCCAAGAAUUUAGAAAGAGUUAUCUCUCUGACUAUUUACCUUGAAGAGUGAAAAUGUUUGACACCAAAAUUUAAUUCUUGAAAAUCUUCCAUCAAAUCAAUUAAUUAGGAACUUUUAACAUUUCUUCCAUGUUUUAGCGCGAAAAAUCCUAAUUGAAUUCUUAACCCUUCAAACCUUGAAGCAUCCAGUGGCUUGGUAGACAAGUCAACCAAUUGAUUCUUUGUUUUCACAUACUCUAACUCGACCUUUCCUCCGUCAACAAGUUCUCUAAUGAAGUGAUGAAAAAAUCCAAUGUGCUUGGUUAUUAAGUGUUGAACAAGAUUUCUUGAUAUGUUAAUUACACUUGUUUUAUCAUAAAAAUAGUGGCCAUUGAUAUUGACACACCAUAAUUUGUAAGCAUUUGCUUUACCUAGAGAAGUUGUGCACUGAUUUAUCACAAUUCGUUGUGGCAAAUUGGAUUGUUCUUACCACUUAAUGAGCUUGUUUUUAAGCAAUUUAGUAUUGUUUUAGUUAAUUUUCUGUUUUAGUUCAUUUUUAGUUAAAGUUAAUAAAAUGAGCAUUUUUGGAGUGUUUUAUGACCUAAGCCAAUCCAAGCCUAAAGGAAGACUAACAUGUUGAUUAAGUGUGCAGGACAUCAAUUCAGGCCAAUGAGUCAAUAGGCAGCCUCCGAAGUUGCCACACCCAGCUUCGAUGUCGCAACACCCACUUUAGUACAUCCAAAGAAACAUUUUACCAUCGAUGUUGAGACAUAAGCCCUACAAUUUCAUGAUAACCAAACCUGGAUGUUGAAGGGGACCAUUCUGCCUGCGAUGUCGGGACACCACUGCAACAAGGCCAAAUAAUUUGCUAAAGGUGUUUUCGUUUGCACAACUUCAAUCAUACAUGUUAAGUCAUUUUCUAUUCUUAAAUUAGGGUUUCAUGAUUUGGGGAAUUUUCAGUUUAAGUAAUUUUAAUUUUAAUUUCAGUUCUUUUAUUCAGCAAUUCUUACUUGUUCUAUUCGUUCUUGCAUUCAAUCAGGAACUAUUAAACAUCUGUCAAUAGGUUUUCUAGUUUCUAUGCUCAAUCGAUAUUCAUGAUCCAAAAUCUCUUUUCCCUUCUUGUUAUUUUUUAUAUUUAUUUUAAUAUAUGAAAUUAACUUAGGGACUUUUGUAUUUAGAUCGAUGAGGAUUUAAAACCUUAGGAAGAUUAACAAGCGAGAGUGAGGUUAAUUAACUAAAGGUUUAGAGUUUGCUUUGGAAUUAGUUGGAUUGGGUUUAGUGUAAUUAAACCCUAGGACUGACGACCUUAGGAGGUUAUUUAGGUAGAUAAGGUCAAAAUAAUAGUCUGUCGAGCAUCCCCCAACUUGUCCCAGUUUGAACUAUGAGGUCAAUAAAUAAGUAGUUCCUGCAGACUAGUUUAAUUUAGUUAGAGGCCGAAAGGUAAUAACUAGGUUAAUUACUAGCUAAAUUAGAACCCUAUAUUCGAGGUUAAUUAUGAACACUGAAGCGCGUUGAUCUUCUGCUUGCAUAAUUUGAGUGUUUUAGGUUGUUUAUUUCACUUUCUUGUUUUUGUUCUAUUUUUCAGCAUACCAUUGUUUUCGGCUUAUCAUAAUAUGAUUUUAAUUGAGUACUAUUUAUAUUUGUUAAUUUAGAAAUUAUUAUUAGUUUAAUUCAGCCUCCUUUGGAUACAAUCCUCAAAAUACUUAUGUGUUAAUAACUAUAUUACAACCUAACUCGUAUACUUGCGGACAAUGCUUUAUUUUCUAUGUUUUUAUUACAGUAUUUCCAGUCCCAACGUUCGCGCAUUGGGGCAGCAGACAUGCAUAGUAGCUUUCCAACUACUAUAUACUCUGCCUCAGCUAUAAAAAGUGAGAUGGAAUUUUGCUUAUUGUUGUACCAGGAAAAUAAGUUUGAACUAAGGUAGAAGUUAAGCUUAUGUUGUUUUGAUGUUGAGAAUACUCACGUGUUAGGUGGAGAGUGAUAUUGGGAGUGUGAUAGUUUGUAAUCCUAUUGGGGCUGGAUAAAUUAUAUUUGUAAGGGAUUUUUUGGGCUUUAACCAGUAGGGACGUUUUUUUAUUGAAUUUAUCAAAUAAGGUUACACUUUGACUGAGGCUCUGUAGACAUAGGACCAUUAUGUCCAAACUACGUUAACAAAGCUUUGUUUUUGCAUUUCCCUCUCCCUAUCGUUUCUAUUGUCUAUGUUAUUAUUCUUAUUCAAUACUAUGUUGUAACAUUAUAUAGCAUAGUUUAUUGUUCCAUUUCCAUUUACUAAUUCUUUCUUAGUUAUCAACCCAACAACCUUACUAUACAAGAUGAUAGGUUGCGGCGGGGGGGGAUAGGAAAUCUUCAAAGGAUUUAUCUAAAACCACAACAAAUAGAGAUGAAAACCCUCGGGGGAGGAACUAGGCUUUGAGUCAUGGGCUACAAAAAAAAAUUAUCAAUGGCAUUUAAAAUAUUGUCACUAUUUGUAUAUGGUGAUGCAAAAUUCAUUAUCAUCAUCAUGCUUUUAGGAACUAGAGCAAUGGUUGAACCAAUCAGGUUAUAUAGAUUCUCGAUUCAUCAUUAGUUUAACAGUUGGUUGUGUUUCAAUAAUAAUUGAUUUAAAAUUUUGAAAAUAAAAAAUUAUGGCAAAUUACACCGUUAGUCAUUCUAAAUAAGGGUCAUUCCUCCCUUUUUUUUUGUUAAUUUGGUUACCCUAAAAAAGUUGAUCAAAUUGGUCACUCUACCAUUAAAUGGUAACAAAAGAUUAACGAUGCAUUUGUACAAAAAAAAUGGGGUGAUCAAAGAGUAACGACCUUUAUUUACAGUUGGUUUUGUUUCAAUAAUAAUUUAUUUAAAAUUUUGACAAUAAAAAAUUAUGGCAAAUUACACCGUUAGUCAUUCUAAAUAAAGGUCAUUCCUAUUUUGAUCACCUUUUUUUUUUAAUUUGGUUACCCUAAAAAAAUUGAUCAAAUUGGUCACUCUACCAUUAAAUGGUAACAAAAUAUUAACGAUGCAUUUUUACAAAAAAAUUUGGGGUGAUCAAAGUAGUAACAACCUUUAUUUAGAGUGAUUGACAAAUAGUUUACCCUAAUUUUAGACUGACUAACAUGGAAAUACACCAUUAGUCCUUUAUUACCAUUUAACAGUGGAGUGACCAAUUUGAUCAAUUUCUAUUUUGGGAGACCAAAUUAGCAAAAAAAUAUUAAGGUGACCAAAAUAGGAAUGACCCAUGUUUAGACAGACUAAUGGGAUAUUUUAACCUAAAAAAUCUUAAAACAUUAUAAAAUUGAUUCAACUUUCAACUCAACCAUUUUUUUAUACAAAAUUAGUGAAUAGGGAUUGCAUUGAAUAAGUGGAGAAAAGUGAGAGACUAAAUUGCAAAUCUACCAAAAGUGAAUAAUGAUUCAAAGAUGGAAUUAUCAAUUAUUGAGGUGUAAUAAUAAAAAUGGACAUUUCUCAAUGGUCAUUUCUCAAUUUGGAUAAUUAUCAAUUAUUGAGGUGUACUAAUUAAGGAUGAACAGUGUUGAAGGAUGAUUGGUUGGAAUAAUGUAUAAUUAUUUUUUAUUAGAUUUAUUUAUUUAUUAAUUAAUGUUUAAGUAAUUAGGAAUGAUAAAAAUAAAAUCAACUUCAUCCCCUCCAUCAUCUCACACCACUCUCCAUGGUUUGUUUUCUUUGCAGUUUGUUCUUUUGCUUGAAAUUAAGAGAGAAGUCCUUGAAAUUCCAUUGAAAUUUUUAGUAAAAUCAAGCCUUCAACAAACUAGUGAACUUAGAUUUUAAGAAGGGAGAUAAUAUGUUCAUGUUGGAGGAGAGAGAAAAUCAAUCUAAGGCUUGAAAUUUAGAGAACAAUGCAAGAAUAUCAAAGUUCCAUAAUGUUUUAAAGUUUGAUUUUGUUACAAAAAAAGAAGUGAUGUUAAAGUAGAGAAUUCUCAUGAAAAUUCUUAUGUUCUUGACAUGUUAUUGAAGAAAGAGAUAGAGGAAAUGAUUUAAGUGACAAAGAAAAGAGAAAAACAAGUGAUUUAAGGUUGAAGAGAAGUAAAUACCCUUAAAUUCUCUUGUUAUCAAUGACUAAAUUGUGAACUUUGUAAAUUUAUAAUUAAAUUAGAAAAGUAAAGUGUAUAAAUCCAAGUAUGUGAAAUAAGAUAUUAUGAUGAAUUAUUUAAUUAAAGUGAUAAAUGAUAAUAAAUUUGAAUGAAAGGUGGAAUUAGAAUGGUUUUAUGAUAAUUAUUGAAUUUUUAUAGUUAAUGACUAAAUUGUACAAUAGUGAAAAAUGACUACAAGUAUUAAAAAUUUUGGAAAGAAUUAUACAAGUGAUGUGUUACAUGGAAGAGAACUGAUCUAAAAUGACUAAGUAACGAAUAAUGAAUUUUGUGGUAAAAAUGAUGAAAAGUAUGUAAAAGUUUUAUGUGUUAUUAUUAGAUAAGUGAAAAUGAUGUAGAGAGUCUGAAAUAUAUGUAAAUUUUGGACCAAAGAUUUAGUGAAUAAAAAUCUUGGGAUUAUUGUAAUUGAAAUUACAAUUAUUCUUUAAAUAGUGAAAAUAAAAGCUAAAUUAAAAAAGUACAAAAGUGUAGUUAAAUUGUGAAAAAUGUGAAAUAAAGAAUAAUAUAUGUAACAGGCCAAUUCUGCCCGGCCCACUAAAUAAAAAAAAUAUAAUAAACAAAAUUAAAAUAAAUAAAAGUCCAAUAACAAUCAGGUCCAUUUACAAAUAUCAAACACAAAUUACACCAAGUCGAAGUGGUCCAAAUAAAAAAACCAUAAAGCCCACAACACCUAAAUUGUUUCAAAACUAAACAAAAACCCUAAUCUAGCCUUAGCGCCGCACCCUAAUGCCACCAUCAAUCGCUCCUUAACCACUACCUGCAAGGAAAAAGGAAAAAAAGGACAGGAGCAGAUACACAAACAGUAACGAAAUAGUAGAAAAUAAUAUGUAAUGUAAUGGCUAUAAAAGCCAUGAAACAGAUUGUAAUAGGGUUUUUUUUUGAAAGAAAUAGAAAUCGAAAAAAAAACAAAAAAAAAGAAAUCGAAAAAAAUACAAAAAAAUUAGAGGUGAUUUUUUUCUUGUAUUUAUUUGUUUAUUUUUUCCCGAAUCUUUUAUAUAUAUAAGAUCAUAAAUAAAAAGAAAAAGAAAACACUUACUUGGCAAUUCGCGUCCCACCUCCGAUGAAAGGUGGCUCUGUCGAGAAGUUUUUUUCUUAAAACUCAAAAAUCGAAGGCUUUCUUCGAGAUUUCUGCUAUUCAGUGGGUUUUUCUUGGAAAAAAUGAUCUUUGAUCUAGGCUCAAGGAACCAAAACAACCAAAAAGGUUUUUUUUUUUCAGCCACCAUAGACGGCGAAGCCGUCGUUGGUGAUCGACAGCCAUCGCGGCGGAGUUCAGUGACUCCCUUGGCUAGAUUCUGGGCUGUGUCUAGAGAGAAAACAGAGAAAAGAGGGUUUUUUUUAAAACACUGGUGAAAUGAUUUUUUUCGUUUUUUUAAACUUAAAUAAAGGAUCAAGACGAUAUCGUUUUGGCUUGGGUUCAUAAACCCCAAAACGUCAUCGUUACGAGGAUGUCCCAAAGUCGAAAGAGUUUGUGGGGACAAGGUCUACAUGCGAUGUGGACAAUAUCUUGUGGAGGAUGAAAAACUACUUCCGUGCCAAAGGCAUCACGGAUGAUGCAGUUAAGGUAAACACUACUUCAAUGUUUCUUACUAAUAUUGCGCUUUUAUGGUUGCGAGGUAGGACCACAAAUAAAAGGCAAGGUGAGAUUGGGACAUGACAAGAGUUCUAAUGUGAGUUGAAGGGACAGUUUUACCCAGAAUUUACCGAGGAAAAAGCUCGGGCAAAGUUGCAAGGGAUAACGCAACGGGGCACAAUGGGGGAGUAUGUUCGAGAGUUCAAGGAACUCAUGCUCCAAGUUUCAGUUGUGACCAAGAAAGAAACAUUGCUUGCUUUUCAGAAUGGAUUGAAGCUGUGGGUCAGACAAGAGGUGGAACAAAGAUGUAUCCAAAAGCUGUCAGAAGCCAUGACGUGGUAGAGUCCGUGGUCAAGCUUGGACUAGGGAAAGACAAGCUUGGGUCCUCCAAAUCCGAAGAAAGGGGCUUAUGUGAAAAGGAUCAUAAGGAAGAUGUUGUUGAUAAAAAUGGCGACAAUAGUAGUAAUGGGAAACCAUGAGUUAGGAAGAAGAAACCCAAGAGGAAAAGGGACAAGUUGAAAUGCUUUCUCUAUGACGGUCCACACAUGUUGAAGAAAUGUCCGAAGAAAUCCGCGCUUAAGGAGAAGCCGGUGGGUAAGGCCUUGGUACUUGGUUCGAGCGUAAGGGGUGUCAAAGCUAAGGAGGCUGGAAGUGAGAAGAAGCCAGUGGAGUGCUUCUUGCGUCAUGGUCCGCAUAGGUUGCGAAAGUGUCCGAGGAAAUUUGUCAUCGAAGGGAACGAUGGAGUAGACAAGGAGCCCAAGAAGCUGGGUUCGAGCAAGGGAAAAGCCGAAGCCAAGAGGGCAAAGAGGAGCAAAAAGAAGUGAGUAAAGUGCUUCUUGUGCCGUGGUCCGUAUGAGUUGCGGAACUAUCCAAAACAAGUCAGAGUCAAAGGAAAGGCAACGUCUGAGCUUGGUGAGUCAUCGGCAAGUCUUCCAGCUAUAGGAGAGGUGGGUGGUGCAUUGGAAUUCAAGGGAAAAGAAGUGAUGCAAGUGGGACAGUUGACCCGAGUAAAUGCAAAGGUACAUUCCAAACACUUUGAUAGUGUGUUGCAUUCUAACUUGUUAACUUGGUAAGAACGUAGAGGCCCUUUUGAAGUUCUUGAGCAAAGAGGCCGAGAGACUGUAGGCAAAGCGAAACCAAGUGUUGUUGUAACACCCCUAACCCGAAUCUGUCGCCGGAACAGGGUUACGGAGUAUUACCAGAGUUUACAAAUUAAUUAUCAGACAUUUCAUUUUAUCUAUCAUUCAUAUUUGAAACCAAUCAAAAUUAAAACAUUUAUGGGUCAAUGAUGGCCAAAUUAACUUAUACAUGCCAUUAUAACCAGAAUCAAAUCAUCCAAAAUUACCGAUAGAACCAAUGGAUAGUGUGAUAUAUCUUUGACAAGCUUCCAACCUAAUCGAGCUUCCGAUAAUCUGUAGGGUAAAUGAAUAAAAAAAUACGUAAGCAAUGAAUGCUUAGUAAGCUCGUGUAGUCUUUAAUCAUAUUAGUUUAUAUUUUCAUUUCACAUUUUCAUAUUCAAUUCACAUUUUCAAAUUAUAUUCCACAAUCACGUUUCUUUCGAUAGCUCAACUGUUUCAUUUCGUUCGAUUUAACUUUUCAUUUAAUUACCCCUAUUAACAGACUCAGGCUUUGGUGGAUAUUGGAUUCCAACCAACACAACAGUACGGCACAUUGUGCCCAAAACGGUACAUAGUACCUGAUCAGUAAUCAGUAACAGUAGGUGUAACAAUAACGGUAACAGUAUUAUACACAUAAAGUGCCGAAUCGGUAACAGUAACGGUAGCAGUAUUCGACACACAAAGUGUUGAAUCAGUAACAGUAACGGUAACAAUAUUCGACACACAAAGUGUCGAAUCAGUAACAGUAACGGUAACAAUAUUCGACACACAAAGUGCCGAAUCGAUAACAGUAACAAUUGUCGGCACAUAAGUGCCUGAUCAGUAAGCUGACAAAAACCCGUACUCUUCUAUAUCCUAUGGCAUGCCAAUUAUAUCUGACUAACCCGACUAGUUAAUAGGGUAUUUAAUUCAUUUUUAGUACAAUUUCCAUCUUAGUUCAGUAUCAAUUAUAAUUCCUUAUUUCAAUCAGUUUCACAGUAUUGCAGUAAUUCAUUACUUCAGUAAUUUCACAGUUCAAUGUAGUACACAUAACAAUAUUCAGUAACUUCACAAUUCAACUCAGUACUCAAAACAAUAUUACGUAUUCCAUAAUUCAGUUCAGUAUCAGUCUCAAUUUCAAUACCCAAUCAUAAAUUUAUCAUUUUACCAAACACUUACCUGAAAAUACUUACCACACAUAAUUAGUAAAUUAAACACAUAAUAAUGAUAAAGUUUGAAUUAUAGUGAUACAAACUUACUAGGCUAAAUUUCAGAAUUACCAAGAUACAGGGGCAUUUUGGUAAUUUUCCAUUUCCCUCGAUUUUCCUCCUCCUCCUCUCCAUUCCACAUCCUUAAUGUGUAUAACACAUUUAAACAACAUUAUCCAUACUAUCACUAUUUUCCUGUAUGUAAAUUCAAGCUAUCUGUCUGAGUCUGAGUCACUAAUUUAUUUAUAUCUCAAGCUACAGAGCUCCAAAUUAAGAUCCAUUAAUUUUUCAUGAAACUAGAUUCACAUAUCUUCUUACCAUAAAAUUUUCAGAAUUUUUUGUUAAUCCAAUAAGUACAUUUUAUUCUUUAAAGUUUUCCCUAUUUCACUGUUUGAUAGUUCCCACCUCUCUUCACUAAAAAUUAAUUAUCUCAUUGUACAGAAUUUUAAUUAUAUCCUUGUUUAUUUAUCUUGAAAAUAGGCUCAUCAAGGAUUUUAAAAAUAUAACCUAUAAACCAUAAUUAUUUUUUUACAAUUUUUAAUGAUUUUUCCAAGUCAAAACAGUGAAUUCUGAAAUCAUUCUGACCCUGUCUCACCAAAGUUCAAAUAUCUCAUAAUAUAAAAUUAUUUUAUGUACACCGUUUCUUUUAUUUAAAAAUAGACUCAUUCAUAUUUAAUUUCAUAUAUUAUUCAGCCUCUAAUUCAAUUUUCACCAUUUUUGGUGAUUUUUCAAAGUCACACAACUAUUGUUGUCUAAAUUGUUUUGUUGCUGAAUGUACUCUUUCAUAAUUUUUCACUUUUUCUCACUUUUCUUUUUAUCGAUCACUGUCAAUUUCUCGUCUUUCUUGAUUCAUAACAACACAUUUAACUUAUUUAGAACUCACAUUAUUCAAUUUAGUUCAAAAAUCACUCUUUGGAAAAAUUACAUUUUUACCCCUAAACUUUUCAUUAAUUCUUAUUUCGUCCCUAGGCUUGAAAAACGAAAUUCAUGCAAUUCAAUCCCGUUUUCAAGCCUAAAUGAAAUUCAUAUGUAUCUAUAACAGUCCAUAGAUUUCACAAAAAUCAGAAUUUUCCUUUGAAUUUCACAAGUUUACCAUUUAGGCCCUGAAUCUCAAUUUCACCCAAAAUCACUAUGUAAAAGUUGUUUAUUUACUAACAACCUUUCAUUAACUACCAUAAAUUUCCAAUUUUCAGCAUGUUCAUCCAUAACACAAUUUCCAUACCUUAACAACUUUUCAAAUAAAUCCUCAAAAUAAAUUUAUGCCAAGAAAGUCUCUUUUCUCUCUCCUAGGGUUUCUAUAUAAAUUUUGGGAAAGAAGAUGAUAGAAAAAGAUGAUAUGUUCAUGUAAUUAAUUAUCAUCUUUUAAUUUCCUAAAAUUCCAAUUUAGUCUUUUUCUUUUUCUCAAAUUACAUGGAUGAUUUCAUCCAUAAAAAUCUACCAUAUUUUGAUUGAUAGUCUAUUUACCAUAUAAGGACCUCUAGUUUUGAAUUUCAUAGCUAUUUAACCCUUUUAGCUUCUAGAAUUCAAUUUCUACAUUUUAUACAAAUAGGUCAUUUCCUUAAUUAAUCAGUAAAUCGAUAAAAUUUUCAUAUCAGCAUUUUCAUGCAACAUUUCUAUCACAAUGAACCCAUACCAAAAUUUUAAAAUAAUUUUUUCCUCGUCGAAUUUGUGGUUCCGAAACCACUGUUCCGACUAAACCCAAAAUCGGGCUGUUACAGUUGUGAAUCAAGAGGAUUCUGUUCGAAUCAAGUUAGAAUAUAGGCAAGAGAGUGACAUAACUUCUUGUCGUCGUGAUGUACAAACGAGUAGGAUGGUUCGAGUUAAGAAGAGACGUAAGCCGAGGCAAAAGUCCUGAAGGAAGAGAAAAGCUAAGACGUCGAGACAAGACUGAGGCGAAUCAAGUCAGUGCCAUUCGGAAGCCGCAACGAGGGCUUUGCAAGAAUGGGUAGGGGGAAUGUCACGAGCUGCAGUUCAAUGCCCAUGACCAUCGCACCAAAUGCAUCAAAUGGAGGUUUAUUGUUUAGAUAGGGGAUCAUUUGGCCCACAAGAACUGGCCCGAUUCAAGAAGCUAUUGGAAAAGCCUGCCAGAUUGAAGCCUGGUUGGCCCGAUAAUGAAGAUAUGACAACUUAGGCUAAUUUGGUAACUAAUCUUAGAAGAUUGAGGGAAUCAUAUCUUGUAAAGAUUAGAUUAGAUUUGAUAUGACAUAUCCUGGAAAUCCCUAAAAUCAACUGAUAUGGUUAAUCUCGUACGUCGAUGUAAACGUAUCUUGACCGUCGGUUUUGGGGGAGCUCAACUAUAAAUAAAGAGCCUCCCCCUCAUUUGUACUCACUCCAUUCAUUGUUUCAUUAUUCUUUGUGAAUAAGAGAAUAUUGAGAGCAUUUAUUCAAACACUUUGUGUGCGCUCUUUCUGUUGUUCUUUGUAGCUUCUUUUGGAAUGAAUCACUUCCGUUCUUUAACUUGGUGCUUUGGAGGAGUUCUUACGGAAUCCUCAGUUGAGUAAAGGUUGACUUAGGCGAGUUUGGAUGAAUGGAUCCCCUAAGGUCGCACGAAUCGCGAGACGAAAGAUCUAGCCCUAUGACACUAGCGCCACACCCUAAUGCCACCGCCGCUCCUAGCUUCUGCCACCAUCAAUCACUCCUUAACCACUACCUGCAAGGAAAAAGGAAAAAAAGGACAAGAGAAAAUACACAAAUAGUACGAAAUAGUGGAAAAUAAUAUGUAAUGUAAUGGCUAUAAAAGCCAUGAAACAAAUUGUAAUGGGUUUUUUCUAGAAGAAAUAGAAAUCGAACAAAAAAACACACACAAAAAAAAAAGAAAUCGAAAAACAUAAUACAAAAAAAAAUACAGAGGUGAUUUUUUUUCUUGUAUUUAUUUUUUUUUCUUGAAUCUUUUAUAUAUAUAUAAGAUCAUAAAUAAAAAGAAAAGGAAAACACUUACUUAACGAUUCGCGUCCCACCUCCGAUGAAAGGUGGCUCUGUCGACAAGUUUUUUUUUCUUAAAACUUAAAAACUGAAGGAUUUCUUCGAGAUUUCUGCUAUUUGGUGGGUUUUUUGGAAAAAAAAAAGAUCUCCGAUCUAGGCUCAGGGAACCAAAACAACCAAAAAGGUUUUUUAUUUUAUUUUUUUGGCCACCGUGGAUGAUGGAGUAUUCGCUGGUGACCGGUGGCCGUCAUUGCGGAGCUCGACGGCUCCGUUGGCCGGAUUCUAAGCUGUGCCCAAAGAGAAAACAGAGAAAAGAGGGGUUUUUUUUUAAACACUGGUGAAAUGAAUUUUUUUCGUUUUUUUAAACUUAAAUAAGGGAUCAAGAUGGCGUCAUUUUGGCCUGGGUUCAUAAACCCCAAAACGACGUCGUUUUAUGGCGUGACCCGAUUACCAACCCGAUCCUAAGAUCCACAUGUUUUCGCGACAAGGGUUUAGUUGCGACCCUGUUCCUUCCGUUUUUGGGCCUUUUUUAAUUUGGUCCUAAUUUCGUUUUUUUUCUUUUUUAGAUGGCACCGUUUAAUUUUGAAUUUCUUUUAAUUUGGUCUUUAGACCGUUGACCCUUGGGGAAGGACGCAUGUAUUUUGGGAUUAAUUUCUUCGAGGCCCUCUAAACUUUGCAUUGCGUUUUAAUUUAGUCAUUUAUGUUUUUAUUCAGACCUUAGAUUUCAAUGGACUUUCAAUUUAGUCCUUAUUUUCCCUUUUCCUUUAUUAUUUUGCGAUUUGUAAUUUGAUUUUUUAUUUAAAUUUAAAUUUAAUUCUUUGUUUACCUAAUUUCAACCUUUUUACAAAUUAUUUAUUUAUUAUUUCUUCAACCCUUUUUCAAUAAUUAAAAUGCAUUUAUUUAUAUUCCUUUUAUGUACUUUCCUAUAUUAUUAUUAUUAUUAUUAUUUAUUUUUCCUUUAUUAUUUAAUUAAGUAUUAGAAUGGUAAUUAAUAGGAUUAUUGUCACUGUUAAUAUUUGGUGUUUAAUUAUUAUUAUAAUUAUAUUGUUAUUAUUAUAUCCUUUAUUUAUUAUUUAUUAUUUUAAUAUCCUACUCAAAUAGUCAUUUUAUUUUACUUUAUCAAUCCAUUAUAUCAUUUAUUCGUACAUGCUAUCCUAUUUCAUCCUUGAUUAUCAUUAUUUUACUUACUUAUUUUAUUAAUAUAAUAUAAUAAUAAUCAUUCUAGGAUUAGUACCAUUAUUAUUAUAAAAUCGAUAUUAUUAUGAUAAAGUUGAUAUUAUUACUAUAAAAUUGGUAUUCUCAUUACUAUUAUAGUUCCAUUAUUACUGUUAUUUACCAACGUGUUUUUUUUUUUAAUUUUUAAUUUCAUCAUUUAUUUUAUUUUUAUUUAUUUAUUUAUUUAUUAUACUAACAUCAUCAUUUCAUUUUUUUACCUACAUGAUUCUUUCAACUUAUUUUGCUAUCACAAUGUACUUAUCAUUUUUCAUACAUUAUGCCCAAAUAAAUUAAAUAUACCUUGUUUUAAAAGUUACAUUCGUUUUAUCUAAUACAUAUAAAAUAUUCAAAACAAAAGCAAUGUUCGUUAAUUUUGGGAUUCGGAGAGUCAUGCUCCUAACUUACGGAGUACUAUGACAUCUCCAUAGAACUGAAGUAAUCGAAUAGCCUACUUAAAAUAACAAAAAAGAAAAUUUAGGUAACAAUCAAAUAAUGUUUAUUCUGGUUUUCGAGAAUUCGAAGGAUCGUGUCUUAACUUACGAAAUAUAAUCUUUCCUUCUCGAUUAACUCGAAAUAAGGUCAUUUUCCAUAAAACUUAAUUUAUUUAAGUAAUUUUAAUUAAAAAUAACAUCAUGCAAAGUGAGAUCAUGUUUUUUGAUUUUUUUAAAUUUUUAAUUCUCGACACUAAGACAUCAAGUAAUCAACUAGGUACCAAUUUUAGGUGUCACGAGGGUGCUAAUCCUUCCUCGUGCGUAACCGACUCCCGAACCCAUUUCCUGAAUUUUGUAGACCAAAACUCGUUGUUUUAGUAAAUUAAACUGUUUAUUAAAACGAUCAAAUUAUCAGGUGAUCUGAUCACACCUCAUAAAAAGGAUUAGUGGCGACUCCCAUUUUAGUUUUCAGAAAAAUAAAAAAUAGAUUUAAAAAAAAAAGUUUUGACAGUAUAAAUAAAUAUCGUGGUUAAUCAUGAAAUUGAAAUGUAAAGAAAAUGCUCUUGAAAAUUUUAAUGUUGAAAAUGAUAUGUUUGUGUAAUAUUAAAUUAGUAAUUGAAAUGAAAAAAAAGGUGAAUGGUUUAUUUUUCACUAAAACAAAGUAAUUGAACUACAUUAUUUUUUAUCUGUUAAGUGGUGGAUCCAUGACAAUGAUGGGGUUUAUUUUCCACUCAAACAAAACACAAAUUUGAGGCAGCAGGUAGUGAGUAAAGAAAACGUAAAAGAAAAAUAGUUGGUGAAAUAAUCAAAUUAUUCUUAUUUUUUGGCUUAAUGAUAAAUUUGACUACUAAUUUGAUAAAUUUAAUAUAUGUUUGUUUAUUAAGAGGUUUUAAAAAGAUAAUUAAUAAAUCAAAUUGAAAAUAUUGAAUCUAUGCAUUCAUUUUGAAAUCUUUUUUAGAUAAUUACAUCUAUUCUCUUUAAAUUAAGAGUUAUUUUUUUUAAUUUUAUGUAUGAUUUAUUUAUUUAAUUAUUUUUCACAUGUAAUUAUCUUAUUAGGUUAUCUAAAUAAUAAAUUACAUCCCAUUAAAAAUAUUUCAAAUAUAAAAUUUUACAUCAUCUCCUUAAAUUUUUUUAUGAUACUUUCAUUAAAUAUAUUAAAAAAAUAAUUUAAAAAAAUAAAUAUUUAUGACAAAAAAACUCAAAAAUACAAUUAAAAUUAUUUUUUAAAAACAUGUAAAGUUAGUGACGAAGUUCAUCAUUAUUUUUCUUUUUUAAAGAAAAUCAGAUGAUGCUCUAAUUGAAGCAGCAGGCAUUGAUACUCCCAAGGCUCAGCCAAAUGAUCAUGUUUGUUUUCGGAAAAGAUAGGUCAAAUUUGGUGUGCUUCCCGACAAUUGACACGUUAACCCAGGAGGCCACCUACUGGAAAAUACUGGUUUUUAAUAUCCAAUAAUUUCAUCUACUCUCUAUUUUAAAUAUGGAGUCUCCAGUUUCAUUUUUCAAAUAACUUUCCAAGACUUGCCACACCAGAAAGUCCAUAGAAACAGGAAAAAGAAAUGGAGGAACAACAGAAAUCCAGUCAUGUGGUGCUUGUUAUGGUAACCUUUCAAGGCCACAUAAAUGCCGCUCUCCAGCUAGCUACUAUCUUGCACUCAAAGGGCUUCUCAAUCACUAUAGUUCACCUUGAAUUGAACUCUCCUAAGCCUUCAAACUACCCCGAAUUCACCUUCGUAUCCAUACCAGAUAAUCUCACGGAAUCUCAACUCUCAGAUAAAGAUAUUCCAGGUCUUGUGAGGAGUGUCAACAAAAACUGUGCAGCACCAUUACAGCGAUGCCUCGAAAAGAUCUUGCACUCUCAUCACCAUAUCUCUGCUGUCAUCUAUGAUUCAUUCAUGUUUUGUGCUCAACCUAUAGUCGACGAUUUGGGGCUACCCGGGGUAACUCUGUGUACACAUUCUGCUCUAGGAUUGCUAUUCUAUCAUGUCUUUCCUCAACUUAAUGAGAAAGGUAUACCCCUUUAACAUUUGGUUGCAACGAGUUCUAUACAUGAUGAUCAUACAAAAUUUGUCUGUAAUAUUGUAACUAUUUGAAUCCAGUAAAAAUUCCAAGUGACAGUUAAUACCCUAAACUCUUUAAGUUUGUGUUGCAGAUUGUAUAUCUGGACUUGAAUCACCAGAGCUUCAAGCUCUUCAGCUUCAAGGCUUUCAUGCAUUAUCAUCACAGAAUCCGACUGAAGCAGGGCUGGAGGUGGGAGCUGCAUUCGCAAAUGCGUUGAAGAGCUCAUCAGCUAUAAUUGUGAACUCAAUGGAAUUUUUAGAACUAGAAGUACUGUCAAAGAUCAAACAAUACUUACCUACUCCAAUUUUCAUCGUAGGACCAUUACACAAAUUAGCUCCAACCAUGUGCAACUCAUUAUGUACUGAGGACAAUAAAUGCAUCUCUUGGCUUAACAAACAAGCCCCCAAAUCUGUCAUCUAUGUGAGCUUUGGUAGCAUUGCCAAUAUUGAUAAGCAAGAACUAAUUGAGACAGCUUGGGGACUAUCCAACAGUAAACAACCCUUCCUGUGGGUGUUUAGGCCUAGUAUGGAUCGUGGCUCAGAAUGGACUGAAUCAUUGCUAAAUGAGUUGGAAGAGAGUGUGGGAGAAAGAGGUUUCAUUGUGAAAUGGGCACCUCAAAAGGAAGUGUUGGCUCACGCUGCAGUGGGUGGAUUUUGGAGUCACUGUGGGUGGAAUUCAACCAUUGAGAGUAUUUGUGAAGGGGUACCGAUGUUAUGCAGACCUUUCUUUGGAGACCAAAUCUUGAACGCAUGUUACAUCUGUAACGUUUGGAAAAUAGGCUUGGAAUUGCAGAAUCAGGAAAGAGGGAAUAUAGAAAGAACAAUAAAAAGACUAAUGGUUGAUAUGGAAGGAAAUUAUAUCAGAAAGAGAGCUAUGGAUUUGAAGGAGAAAGCUGCUUUUUAUCUAAUGGAGGAUGGUUCUACAAGCUGUUCUUUCGAUGGGCUAGCAAAACAUAUAUCAUCAGUUUAAGAGACAUGAAAUUAAACAUCCUUGUAGUUGUACUUUCAAUUUAUCGUAUGACAUUGUGAUUUGUGUAAUUCGUAUCUACAAAAAGGGCAAACAUUUGUAUAAUAAAGAAUGAUUUGUUAAACAUUUUUUUCAUGUCUUUAUCUGUUUUUGUGGUUUAUGAUUAGUUUUGUUCAAGUCGAAAGCGGUAUUUAGAUAAAACCUUCUAAACAAUAAUGAACUUAGGUGUGAUACCUUAUACCUAGAGGUGAUCAUGGGUUGGGCCGGGCUAAAUUUGGGCCGAGCCUAGACAAAAUUUUAGGCCCGUUUCCUAGGCCCGGGUCCGGCCCAAAAUAUGAGCCUAUAAAUUUAUCCAAGCCCAACCUGAAAGAAAAUUGCUAAGCUCGACCCUAGCCCGACCCGACCCAUAUUAAAUAUAUAUUUAAUAUAUAGUUCGGGCCGGGCCGGGGCCAAAAAAGUUUUACCCGAGGCCCAGCCUAUUUUCUAAACGGGCCUCGUUUUUUGCCCAAACCCAUAUUUCGGGUCCAUAUUUUUACCCGAACCCUCCUAUUUUUCGGGCGUGCUGUCGGGCCAGGCAGGGACGGGUAGCCCAACCCAUGAUCACCUCUACUUAUACCCAACCCAGUUGUUGGAUCUGAAUAUAAAAUGUCACAUUUCGUUGCCGAAGCAACUCUAAUGGUCACUAAACCAACUAUAAUUACGACAAACGCAAGUGCACCUAUCGAACAAUAGUAUAGCUAUGGUGAGUAAAGAAUAUCAUAUCCACGAGGACAAAAAGUACUAGUAAUUACUGUUUUUCUAUUAUUUAGCCGAUAAAUUGAAGUGAUUGUUUUUAAUCUAAAUUUACUAAUCUAAUUUAACUACGAACGCAACAGAGAAUGAAAUGGGAAAAUAAUCGAAGACAACCAAUGAGAAAGACAAUACCCAUGAAACAAUCCACAUAGACUUCACCUAUUAUUAUGAAUCUAAAUUAAACGAUUUAUUCACUUGUGUCUUGAUCUGUAGAAAUCCCUCAAUUAUGUUAAUAUCUUUUUUGAGAGUAUGAACAACUAACUCUAGGUUGAUUAAUUGAAAUCACUUUCUAAUUAAAAUCCAUAUUGUCGCAUUAACUUUAUCUAUGAAUUCUCCUAUUAGAUUUGACUCUAAUUCGGUAGAUUUAUGUCGUCCUAUUUCUAGGAUUGCAUGUAUUAGAUCUACUCUUAAACAGAGACUUUUACUCCACUGAAAUAAGCACAUUAAACAUGAAUUAAUAUCUUAAAAAUAUUAAAACAUGAAAUACGCAUACAUAAUUGAGAACAAGAAUCAAAUAUUUAUCACGUAAAAAUAGAAAUUAAAUAAUAAGAUUCAUCAUAGGUUUCAUCCUCCCUAGGUAUCUAGGGAAUUUAGUUCAUAAUCCCGAAUGAAAAUAUCUCAAAGUCAGAAUAACCACAAUAUAUAAAGAAACUCAAUAAAACUUUGAAAGAAAUUAAAUGGAGAUCUUCGAUCUUGAGGGAGAUCCGCUUUCGAGUUGAUUCCGAUGGCGUUCUUCGAGUCAUUUCUUCGAUCUUCUCUCAGUGCUCCCUUAGAUCUUCUUCUAAUUGAUAUUUAUAGACUUUAAAAUGCUCAAAAAGUCUAAAAAUUAGAUUUUUCCACGUAUUUGGGAAACAGGGUGCGAUAUCGACAUGGGCGUGUGGCCAGCUCGUGUGAAAAUGCACAGGCCGUGUGGACCCUAGAAAUAGCUCUAUUUGCUCGAUUUUGGCUCGUUUUUUGCUCAUUUCGCUCCCAAAUACUCUCCUAAGUAUAGAAACAUGAAUUUAAAGGAUUAGGAGCAUCAAAUUCACUAAUUUACAUAAUUAAUCAUCCAAAAACGCAUUAAGAAUGAAAUUAAAAUGUUACUUUUAUGACUUAUCAAACUCACUUUUUUAUUGUUUUUUUUUCUGAAAAGGAAACGUAGUGGUAAAAUUAUUUUAUAAAAAUUUUGGCAGUAUUUUUGCCUAUUUUACAUGAAACCCCCUGCAAAUUUUAGAUUUUCACAAAAUAUCUACAUUCAAAUUAUCUCACACAUCAAUUCUCAGCACUAUGAUUUCUCAAAGCAUAUCAAUAAACUAGAUUUCGACGCUUUACUAUUUUAUCAAAACAUUAGUUAUAAAAUACUAGUUAAUAAAACAUAAUGAAAAUAUUUAAAUUCAGUUUACGGCAUAAUAUUAUAUAUAUAUAAGCUUAGGUACAUGUCAUUUACAUCAACUACAAAGUAAACUCUUCACCAACAUUGUUUGAGCUGAACUUCGGUUCUUCAGAUGUUGCUGGAAUAAUCUAGUAAAUCUAACUACCUGCACACGGGAAAAUAGACAAACUGUACGCUGAGCAAUUUUUAUGCUCAUUGGUGCUAAUAUCAUAUAAAUCAAUACAUAAAAAUUGAACACAAAUUAAUUCAUAGAAAUAAACUAAAACAUGAUUAUAAAUAUCAUUAAUAACAUCUCAAUAAAAGAAAAUUUUAAAAUUAAUAAACUUUAAUAUUUUAAUAUUGACAAAUCAAAUAAAGAAAAUAAGUUUUUUAAUUAAAUUCAAAAUCGUGUAAUUAAUUUAAUUUGCACAAUAUGGAAAUUCAAAUAAAUUCAAGUUUUAUUUUUGCUUUUCUUUCAAUUUGGAACCCAUACUAAAGUUUAGACUCAUAACCAGAUACACAAAUAUACCACCCUGAGUUGUUCGGCAACGAUGGCUAUCAGAGUAGUCCACAACCCUCUAGGAAUUGGGAUUGCCCACGACCCUCUGGGAAUUUGGGCUAACAAUAAUAGCAACUGGCCGACUUGACCUUUUCUCCCUCGACCCUCUGGUAAUUAGGGAGAUCUAAAUUCUUUGAUAUAAAGACUCCAUGACAUGCCAAUUAUAUCUGAUUUAGUCUAACUUAGUGAAAGGGGUAAAAACCAAAUUUCAUGAUCCAUUUCAAUUUCAUUUUCAUAUAAUUCUCAAUUCAAUUCCAUUUCAUGUUCAAAUCACAUAUCACCUAUUGUAAAAUUAGGCUUCCAAUUUAAAACAUAUUAAUCAUUUUCUUGCUCAAUCAUCUAAAAUCAUAAUACUCAAAUCUAAAUCAUAACCAUGAAUUUGCUAAUUUGAUCGAUGUUCGCUUCAUUUUUAGCUACAAUAGAAACAACUCAAUACGAAACAACAUCAUUUAUCCAUUCUAAAACUAAAACUACUAAAAACAAACUUAAUUAUGCAUGAUUAUUCAUAUUGGCAACUUAAGUUUUUUAGUCCAAAAUUCGCAUAUCUUUGAACUCGAUUAUCUGUUUUCAAUUCCGUCUUUACCAGAGUACUCGCUGCUUCACAAGCUAUCAUUUAGCACCAAUAUUACACAAAGUGGCCAAUGUUCUCUACUUCCCCUUUAACAUGGCCAAAUAUACCAAAUAAAAUUUCCAUCCAUUUUUAUUUCUUUUUCACACUUCUAACAAGCUAGAACUCAUCUUCUAAUCAUUUCCUAUCUAAAAAUAUAUCUAUUUCACUUAAGUUUUCUAUGCUUCCAUCAAUGUUCUUUAAUGGCAACUUUCAAAAUACUUGAUAAAAAAAAAAACCUAUUGGUAAAUAUAUGUAAAGCAAGCUUCAAGGAUUCAAAAUCUAAAAAAAUUUGAAAAAAAUCAUAACUUAUAUUUAAAUUUGAUGGAAAAUAAUGGAAGCAAUUUUUUUUUCUUUCCCCCCUUUAUUUGACGUGAAAAAGAAAGGAAGAUGAGAAAGAUGUUAUCUUUCUCUCUUUUUUUUCUUUUUCAUAUAUUAUAAUAUUAAUUAUUAAAAUAUUAUUACUUCAUAAAAAAAUCAUUUAAAAGUCAUCAUGAAACUAUUGAUUUUUUUUAAGUAAUGGUAAAAUUGUCAUUAAGUCUUUUCCAUCAAAAUAAAAUAGGAUAAUUGUACUUUAGUCUAUACUUUUCUAACUUAUUCAAUUUAAUCUCUAAACACGAUACCGAAUUUUUAACUUAACCACAUACUCCUACUAAUAAUCUUCUGUGUUUUCAUGUCUGACAAUUUUCUCUAAAAACGAUUAUAAUUUCUUAUACUACUAUUUAUUUAUAGAUAAUUUAUUCAAGAACUUUUACCAUAAAUAUUCUUCUUCUCUUUUUGUUUUCUUUUUUUUUUUAAAGUGGGAGUAUUACAUUAAGACUCUAACUUAGUUCAAAUGUUUGGGAUAAAAUCCACUUCUAUCUUCUAUUCACUUCUUGAUUUUAUUUAGAUAUUUUACAUUAGAGUUAAAUGCACAAUAUAUCCAAGCUAGACCUCUAUUUUACAUUUUAAACGAUUUUUUAUUUGAAUAAUGCAAAAGUGAAAUACCAAAAUAGGUUUACGGGGAAGUUAAUCCGUAGAAUAGUAUUUUUCUUUUUGGAUAGGUACCUCGGCACCAAACGAUGUCAAGUUCCAUAAUACGUCUUGCACCAACAAAUUUAUCGAGAGCUGUUCAAAUUAGGGUAAUGAUUAUAGAAUAUUUAUUUGGACCUUGACACCUAUAAGUGUCGUGGUCUUUGUAAAAUUUUUAAAAUUUUAAAUUAUAAUUAUUUAUGUAUUUUGUAACAUAUAAUAUUUAAAAAGAUCUCGACAUUCAUAUAUAUUGAGGUCAUAGUAAAUUAGUUAAAAAUAUUGAUCUUAAUCUGUAAAUGACUUUUUUAAUAAAUUUUAAAAAUUUAAAUUGAUCUCACCACUUAUAAGUGUUAAGGUUGUAUUAAAAACCCUAAUGAAAUCUAAAAAAAUGAUUAAGGGAGUUUUUGAUAAACUGAAAAUUUAAGUAUUAAAAAAUUAAGUAUUGAAUUUUUUAUUGUUAAAUUUUAUAAGUGUUGAAUUUAUAUUAGAAAAUUGUUUGUUACAUUAGUAAAUUUAAGUAUUGAAUAUAAUUAUGUUGUUUGAUAAAAGUAAAUAUUGAUUUUUAAAAGAUUACUUAUUUUAAUUUAAUCUUAUUAAUAUUAUAUUUAUAUUAUUUUCAAUAGUUUUGGAUGAAAUAUAAAUAUCUUAAUUUGAAUAUCUCAUUUUUUUCAAAAAAGGUAUAAUUUAUUUCAAUUUUUAAUAAAAUAAAAUCAAUUUAAUAUUUUUGCCACGUAUCGACGACUUGUUUGAUCAACUGAAAGGUGCUGCGAUGUUUUCGAAGAUAGACCUUAGAUUCUGGUAUUAUAAUUUGAAGGUUAAAGAGUGUGAUGUGCCAAAGACUGCUUUCAGAACUCGGUGAGGUCAUUACGAAUUUUUGGUAAUGCCAUUCAGUUUGACCAAUGCCCCUGCUGCUUUCAUGGAUUUAAUGAAUCAGAUUUUCCAAUCUUAUUUGGAUAGAAUUGUAGUUGUGUAUAUUGAUGAAAUACUAAUCUAUUCCAAGAUAGAAUCUGAACUUGCACAACACUUGAGGAUUGUGCUACAGACUUUGAGAGAAAAACAGUUGUAUGCGAAGUUUAGCAAAAGUGAAUUUUGGCUACACGAGGCCGGAUUUCUAGGUUACAUUGUAUUAUCCAAAGGGAUUCGAGUUGAUCCGAGCAAAGUAUCUGCAGUGGUAAAUUGAAAAAAUUCGAAGAAUGUUUCAGAAGUGCGAAGUUUUCCAGGUUUAACAGGUUAUUACUGACAUUUCGUCAAAAACUUUUCAAUGAUUGCUUCGCCGUUGACCCGAUUAUUACAGAAAAAUGUUGAAUUUGUUUGGUCCGAUGAGUGUCAGCAAAGCUUUGAUCAAUUAAAGAAAAUGUUUAUAGAAGCUCAGGUUUUGACUCAGCUAGAAUUAGGUGUACCAUAUGUUGUUUACAGUGAUGCAUCUCUAAAUGGUUUGGGUUGUGUACUGAUGCAGUCAGGAAAGGUAGUGUCCUAUGCUUCUCGACAAUUAAAGCUACACGAGAAGAUUUAUCCUACACACGAUCUUGAGUUGGCUGCAAUCGUAUUCACUUUGAAGAUUUGGAGACAUUAUUUAUACGAUGAGAAAUGUUACUUGUUUACGGAUCAUAAAAGUUUGAAGUAUUUGAUGACUCAGAAAGAGCUGAAUUUGAGAUAGAGACGGUGGUUAGAAUUGCUAAAAGAUUAUGAUCUGGUUAUUAACUACCACCAGGGAAAGGCUAAUGUGGUUGCGGAUGCACUUAGUCAAAAUUCGUCACUGUUUGCACUUUGAGCGUUGAACGCUUAUUUAUCUCUUAGUGAAGAUGGUUCUGUAUUAGCAAAAUUGAGAAUGAAACCUCUAUUUCUUCAACGAAUUCGAGAAUUGCAAGAUGAUGAUCCAAAAUUGGAGUUGGAACGGCAGAUGGUUCAGGACAAUCUGAGUUCAGAGUAUAGCAUUGAUGAUAGUGGCAUGUUACGUUAUCGUAAUAGAAUUUGUGUUCUGAAUAAUUUGAAUUUGAAAAAUGAUAUUCUUUCUGAAGUUUAUAGUAGUAUGUACUCUAUUCAUCUGGGUACUACGAAAAUGUAUAGUGAUUUGAAACGAAUGUAUUGGUGGCCGAGUAUGAAAUGGGAAAUUUGUGAAUUCAUAGCUAAAUGUUUGAUUUGUCAGCAAGUGAAAGUAGAACAUCAGGUACCAAUGGGUUUAUUACAACCAGUCAUGAUUCCUGAAUGAAAGUGGGAACAUAUCACGAUGGAUUUUGUAUCCGGUCUACCUAUGACUCUGAGAAAGAAAGAUUCGAUCUAGGUGAUUGUUGAUAGAUUGACUAAGUCGGCACAUUUUGUCCCAGUCAGAACAGACUUUUCACUUGAGAAGUUAGCAGAAUUGUAUAUAGCAGAGAUUGUGAGGUUACAUGGGGUUCCAACAUCUAUCAUUUUAGAUCGAGAUCCAAGAUUUACAUCGAGAUUUUGGAUUAAACUACAAAAAUAUCUGAGCAUUAAGUUAACGUUUCAUCCUCAAACCGACAGACAAUCAGAAUGAGUGAUUCAGAUUCUAGAGGAUAUGUUGAGAUGUUGUAUACUCAAAUUUGAAGGUAGCUGGGAAAGAUAUUUACCAUCGGUUGAAUUUUCAUAUAACAACAAUUAUAAACCCAGUAUAAAAAUGGCACCGUUAGAAGCUCUUUAUGGGUGGAAAUGUAAGACGCCAUUGUAUUGGUCUGAAUUGAGUGAAUCCAAACUAGUAAGAGUUUAUUUGAUCUGAGAAACUGAAGACAAAGUUCAGAUUAUCCUGGACAGUUUGAAAGCUGCUUCUGACCAUCAAAAAUCGUAUGUAGAUUUGAAAAGAAGAGAUAUAGAAUUUGUGGUUGGUGAUCGGGUAUUCUUAAAAGUUUCUCCAUUGAAGAAGGUUUUACGAUUCAGUAGGAAAGGGAAACUGAGCCAAAGAUUUAUUGGACUAUAUGAAAUUGUUGAAAGAAUCGGCCUUAUGGCUUAUCGUUUAGCUCUACCUCUGAAACUUGAGAAAAUUCAUAAUGUGUUUCAUGUACAGAUGCUGAGACGGUACAGAUCUGAUCUUUCACACGUGAUUCCUCAUAGUGAGAUUGAGCUGCAACCAGAUAUGCAGUAUUUGGAAGAACCGGUGAGAAUUUUGGCUCAAAAGGUUAAAGAAUUGUGAAAUAAACAAGUAUUGUUAGCAAAAGUUUUGUAGCAUCAUCAUGGUUUGGAGGAGGCUACUUGGGAAACAGAAUAAUAUAUGAGAUCAAAUUAUCUGAACCUAUUCCCAGUUAACAAAUUUCGAGGAUGAAAUUUCUUAAAGGGGCGAGAGUUGUAACAACCUAAUUUUUAGUGGUGUCAGAAACAGUGGUUUGAGACCGCUAAAUUCGACGAGUGAGCUCAUAAAUUUUAUUAUUUAGUAUUUACGAGUCAAAUGUGAUUUUAGAAAGAUUUUGAAUUAGUAAUUUAUGUUUUAUAAGGAUUUAUUAGGUUAAAUGGUUUAGAAAAUGAGGUAUCAAGACCCUGAUUUUAAAAACUGAGCCGUAAAUAUUUUUACAAAUAUUUAGGGAGUGUAAUUAAAGUAGUAUUAAAUUUUCGUUAGAAAAUUUUAACGUUUUGAUAGUUAAUUAAUUAAAAAGGACUAAAUUGAAAAAUGUGAAAAACUUGCUAAUUAGGAAAUUUCGAUUAAAUAGUAUAAAUAGUAAAUAAGGGAGGACUAAAAGGGCAAUUAGACACACAUGAAAUGGUUGGGCGACAUGAGUGUAGGAAAUAAAUAAUGAAAUAAUGUUAACUAAGGGUAAAAUUGUAAAUUUUGUAAAAUUAAACAAAUAAAAUAGCAAUUAAAGGAUUUUCUAGACAUUUAUUCAUCAAUAUUCUGCCAAAAAUGGCUAUAGGAGAGCUCCUAAAGCUAGUUUUUCAUAGUUACUUCAAGUGAGUUCAAUUCUUGUUUAUUUCUUGCAAUUUUUCUGUUUUUAAGACUUUUGCAAUUAGGUCCAACUAUCUAUUUCAAUAGUUUUUUAUUUUAUUGGAAAUUUUGGAAGUUACCAUUGAUGAAUAUAGGAUGUAUUAGGUGAAUAAACAUGGAUUUAGAGCUUUAAUUUUGUUGUAUGAUAAUUUUAUAAAGUGAUUUUGAUAGUCUAGAAUAUUAGGGUUUGGUAUUGAAAUUCUGAAUAUCAAGAGCUGUAUAAUAGUCUAGAAUAUUUAGGUAAGUUAUCAAUUAAGAAAAAUUAGCUCAUUUGAUAGACAAAUUAGUAAGGGACUAAAUUGCAAAAAUUAUAAAAGUUGGGGUAAUUGUGUAAAUCUAAAAAUUAAAGGGUAUUAAUUAUGAAGUGAAUUGGAACUUAAAUAUAUACUAAUGAAUGAAUACUUUAUAUUUUAGAUCAAGAAGCCGUAGAUACUCGUGAAAAAGAGAAAUUAGCAGAAUAGUCCCUAAACUUCUACAAAUCAUACAAUUUAACCCAAGUAAGUUCGUAUGGUUAAACUUUAAUAAUUAUAUUUAAUUGAUGUAUGAUAUUAUGUAUUUAGUAUAUUGUUGAAAAAUGGAAUAUUGUUAAAUUAUGAAUUUUAAGUGAAUAUCCGAUUUAAAAGGAAUGCGGGAUUGAGUACAAUUGUUAUGUGGAGCAAAGGAAGAAUUUACAGCAAAUUACCCAAGUAAAUCGAUGUUCAGUAUUUGUUGCGAACUUUCAUGUUUACUUUCUGUUUAACUCUCACGAGCUUCUGUUUAACUCAUUCGAGUUUCCGUUCAACCCUAAUGAGUUUCCGUUCAGCUCUUUUGAGCUUCUGUUUAACCUUUAUGGGUUUUUGUUCAGUUCUAAUGAGCUUCCGUUCAACCCUUUUAUAUUUAACCUAUCAAACUUACUAAGCUUCAUAAAGCUUACUUGUGUUGUUUAGUGCUCUUGUAGAUGAUGGGUGUCGAUUCCACCAAUAUAAACCUACGUCUAAUUUACAAUUCUAAGCAGUAUAGGGAGUAGGGUCGAUCCCUCAGAGACUGGGUAUACUAAAAAUUGUUUCUCUUUCUCGACCAGAUUCGUGUCUGGGCAGUUGUCGUGCCCAAGAAAUUUGGGGGAGGAUAAAUUUGAAAACCUAGAACCUGAAAUAAACAGGGAAAAAAAUGCGUGAAAGGUAAAAGCUGAAAAUAAAAUAAUAAAAAUAGUUAAAUAAAUCUAAAGAAAAACUAAUUAAACUAAGCUCAGCUUUAGGCACGGAUUCUUCCUCGUCUUUGAACCGGUCCUCAAAAUUAGAUGAACUCCUUUUUUCCAAUAAGCUAGUUAUAGCUACCAAGGACGCCUCGGACACCAACUCUUCCUUGUGUAAAUUAGUUAUGGAACAUCCUAUAACUAACCCUUACCGAUCGAACAACCAACGAAACGAGGCUAAUUCUGACCUAAAGCUGAAAAUGGAUUUAGUUAACUAAAGUUUGGGGCAUAUUGGAGUUGGAUAAAUUAAAUAAGGUAAAAAUAGGUGAAAAGAAUGGGUGGCGUGAUUAAGUAUGGGGGCUGGAAUUUUGGUAGUGUAUUUAAAGUGGGAUGGUUAGCUACUGGAAAUGAAAAGGAAGUUUAAAAAAAAAGAAAUUGUAAAUGGUUUAAGUUGGUGACAAACUAGAAAUUAAUAAACUGAAGAAAAAGAAACUAAAAACAACAAAUAGCUUUGUGAGAAUGAAGAAGAGAUUGCAUUCAAAGAUGAAAGCUUGAUUUAUGACUUGAUGAAUAAAUGAACAAUGUAGCCCACUAGUUAUACUAGUGGCUUUGCUAAAUUAAGAGCCACUAGCCAUAGAAAAUCAAGGAAAUAAAAUAUUCCAUGAUAAAAAAUCCCUACAUAAUCUCCCACUAAGUCAACAAAAAUUUCAGCUAAUUAUAUCUUAGAAAAAAUUUUGCUUUGGCCCUCCUUCUUUGCUUCUUUCUUCAAUCUAACCCAAUUGUUUCCUUUUUAUUCUAUUUAGCCACAAAUUGCACCCCUGCACAAAAUUCAACAUAAAUAUGGAAAAAUCAGUGGUGCACUCUCAUAAAUUAACCAAUUUAAUUACAUAAAAUAUGUAAUUUUAGCAUUUAAUCAAAUCCCCCUACUUAGCUUAUGCUAGUCCUCGAGCAUUUUGUAUGUAUCUGCAAAAGGAAAAAUUUUCUCCAAAAUAGGACUUGACCUCUAUGGUUUGCACAAUUCAACAAUUUAAUCCUAGCACAUUAACAUCUCAAAUAGCCUAGCCUAAGAAGUAAGUAAAUAUAUUUCGGAAUUUAUUAGAGCUUGAUAGGCCUACCCCUAAUUUAUUUUUAAUAAUAAUAAUAAUAAUAAUAAUUUUUUGUGUACUUAGGACAUUUUCAAAUUUUUUUAUGCGAGACACGAUGACAACCCAAGCACCAUGUUCCGGUUACUCGAUUCGGAUGUCUCUAAGUGGGUUAUUUCACCCUACUCGUGAUAGCUUGUUAGAGGAGUAAGUGCAAGAAAUUGUACAGCCACACGAACCUUUUUACGCGAGAUGUGAUGACAACCCAAGCACCAUGUUUCGGUUACUCGGCCGAUGUACAACCCCAAUUUUUCACUCUUAACAUUCGUAUCAGAGGAGUAUUAUUAUUUAUUCAUGUCUUCUUCUUUUUUUGACUUAAUAAAGGCAGAAAAUUGACAUGUUGUAUAAGGUAGGCAAUCAAGCAAACUCAUAAUUCCUAAAAAUUUCUUACCCACUAAGUCUAGGUUAUUGAAAAGUUUUAUGUGUAAAGAACUAAAUAGCUAAAUAGGAUAAACCAUAAAUGUACCAUCCCAAUUUAUCAAAAGAAAAAUUUUACCUUUCACGAAAAAUGUGCAAAAACAGCGACAACAGAUAAGCAAAUUAGAACCAAUUUAUAUUUCCCUCCCUCUACUUAUUUUACAUUGUCCCAAUGUAAUUUAAAUUAUUUAAAGGAUAAAAAGUAAAAGUAAGUAGGGAAAGGAAAAAUUAACUCCCCAUGUAUUUCAACGUCGUGGAGGGUGGUCUCGUAGGUGUGUGAGAACGUCUGUCACCAAGGUGCAUAAAGAUUCGAGUCCUUCCUCGAUUCGGGUCAAUCGAGAUUUGACAGAAGUUUGAGGCUCUGUUUCGUGUUGGUGUCUACGUCGGAACACUCUAUUCGACCGACUCGUUCUCGUACCUGGAGGAACAAAAUAAAAAGAAGAAGGGGUACCGACAAGUAACCCAUAGAAUCCAAGUAGUAUGUAUCUAAAGAGUUCGUUUUGUAUGCCAGAUUCGAAGAACUAAAUUUGAUAGCUGAUGGAUUCAAAUUGGAGGCUAAACGUGUAAUGUAAGUGCCCAAAAUUAGUGGUCUAUUCGACCGCAAAACAUGCUGAAACUGUAUAGCAAACCAAUAUCCUAAAUUUACCUUCCUUCCCGAAUAGAUGCACCAUAGAAAAAAUAAUUCAGUCCUAGUUAAAGAGGUAGACAUAUCAUUACGUCCCGAAAAAAUGAAAGCAAGGAAUCGGUGUAAAUAUCGAAGUGUAGGACUAUGAAUUCCUAUGUCCUUGUAACGUUUCGGAUCAUACAAAAUCUGUCUCAUUUCAGUUAACAAUGCUAAAGCUUCAUUAGCAUCAAAGUCAUGUGGUAUGUCGAGAAAUGAGUCAUAAUAGUGAUCAGUUGCUAAAUAGUCCUCACUAACGAACCCCAAAGCAACAUUGAACUCAGAAAUUGACAGAUUAUAUUGCACUCCUAACAAUCGAAAAUUGACAGCAUGAGGCGUAUCUACGGUGUUAGCAGAACGGUAGAAGUAAAAUGUUGAAUAAAAUUCAAAAAUCAACUCAUAAUAUGCAGGUUCAUCAAUGGCAGCAAAAUCAGUCCACCCAAUAGCAUCAAAAUAUUGAUUAAUAGAUUCUUCAAUUUCUAAAUAGUAUAAUGAGAAUGUGUCUACAUGCUUAGAUAUUGGAAGAAGGCGAUGUUGGAUUUGUUCGAAUUGUGCUCGGUGCGCCGGGUUUGUGAAUGUUACAUUCCCGUGGAAUCUCUUCUCUGGAGGCAUGAAUCCUCUUCCUUGUCAAAAUUGACCUCGCUCACGUGGGUGAUACUCAGUGUCCUAAUUUUUCAUUUCAUUUUCGCAAUAUUCGACAUCAUCUACCGAUAGAGUUGAUGAGCCGUCCAAAGGUGGUUGUUGGCGACCUCGGGUUCGUCUUUGCGUUGAAUGUGGUUCAGCACCAUCGUUUGGGGGUCGUGAAAUUCUUCUCGAAGGCCUCGGUUGUGUUGGUUGAUGUGCAUGGACGUUUAGUUGGAGGGAUAGGCGGUAUUGGUUGUCGAAUGAGUUUGGUGGUUCGACCGGGCUAUUUGGAGGAUGGUCGACUGAAACGAGCGGCUCAUGGGGCGGGUAGACUACGGUGAUCAGAGUUAGCCUGCAAUUUCUCCUAGGACGGUGCGGUUGCGGCGGCGGGGAGAGAGGAGACUCGUCAGAGUGGAUGGUGAUGAAGGGUGGGGUGGUGAACCUGUUUCGUCGUCUGUUUAUUAUGGACGGCGGUUCAUGCAUCGCGCGGUCGCGGGUGCGGACCAUGGUUUGGUGGUGGAUGGUGGUGAGUAGUGGUGAAAAAGAAAGGGGUUUAUGAAGAGAAAAAGAAAUUUUGAAAAAGGUUUUAGUGAGAAACAUUCGGCUGGUCAAAAUGGGGGUAGUGGGGUUGGUUUUUCCUAGGUGAAAAAUAGGUGAUGGUUAUGAUUUGAUCGGUGAGGGUUUUUUUUUUAAUUUGAAAAGGGGUAGACAGCUGGGGAGAGAGGGAUGAGUUAAAACGGGUUAUGGGGUUGUAGUUUUCUAGGUGAAAAGAUGGAUGUAAUAGGUGAAAGAUUAGGAUUUUAUAGGUGAAAGGCUGAUGGGUGUAGGGUUUUUUUUAUUUGAAAAGGGUUGGACGGUUGGGGGUAAAAAUUUUGGGUUUUAAUUUUUCAUUUUUGAUUUUGGGUAGGUAUGAUGGGUUUGGGUUUUGGUUAAUGGGUUAGCUUGGAUAUUGGAUUGAUUUAAAUGGUGGGUAGGUAGAGUGGGCCUUGGCUGAAAUAAAAAGAAUUUUUGUGGGCUGACAUGUUGGAAUGUGUACCUGCAAAAUAAAAGUAAAUAUGUAAAUGAAAAUAAAUAUAUAUAAAAAUUAAAGUUAAAAUAAAAAUAAUUUAAAUUUAAAUUUAAAAUGUGUAUUUCUUGAAUAUAUAGCUUUGCUAAUGCUAUGCUUAAAUAUUCGAAAUAAAUUAUUAAAAACCAAGAUUAUGGGAUUUAGUAAAAUAGUCGAGAUAAAUGCACUAGGUAAGUUCUCAGGAAAGAGAGGUGAGUCACAAUGGACAUUCUUAAGUACUAAGUCUUUCCUUAGACAGAACCGAUCCUCGACAUGCAUUUUCACUUCCAUUUUACCUUCUAAAAAAAUUUAUUUGCUUAAAGGAAAAAUUUGGGUUGCCUCCCAAUAGCGCUUUGUUUAACAUCGUUAGCUUGACGACCUGUUAUUCAAAUUCUGGGCUCCUCGAGAGCAAUCUCCUCAACUGUGUGCAUUUGAAAAUUCUCGUAAAAAGGUUUCAGUUGUUGACCAUUCACCUUAAAGCACUUCCGGGUUUCUUCGCUUUGAAUUUCCACUGCACCAUUUGAGAAUAAAUUAGGAAUAGUAAAUGGACCUAUCCAUUUGGAUCGAAGCUUACCAGCGAAAAUUUUUAAGGUGGAGUCGUAUAGGAGAACUUUUUGUCCUGUUGAAAAUUGCUUCCUAGUGAUCAACUUAUCAUGAAAUGCCUUCUUCUUUUCUUUAUAAACUCGACAAUUUUCAUACGCAUCGUUUCUAAUUUCCUCGAGUUCCUGGAUGUCCAACUUUCGAGACUUUCCUGCAGACUCCAUCUCCAUAUUACAAUGCUUAACUGCCCAAAAUGCUUUGUGCUCUAAUUCGACCGGGAGAUGACACGGUUUACCAAAAAUGAGUCGGUAAGGUGACAUGCCUAUUGGUCCCUUGUAAGUUGUCUUAUAAGCCCAAAGUGCGUCAUUAAGUCUCAAACUCCAAUCCUUUCUGUUAGGCUUAACAGUCUUUUCCAAAAUAGACUUGAUUUCUCUAUUCGACACUUCAGCUUAUCCGUUUGUUUGUGGAUGGUAAGCAGUAGCAAUUCGUUGAGUCACUCCAUAUUUCUCCAUAAGUGCACUUACGAGCUUAUUGCAAAAAUGAGUUCCCCUGUCACUGAUUAAUGCUCGUGGGAUGCCAUACCUGGAAAAGAUAGAACUUUUAAGAAAGUCAACCAUAGUCUUAGCAUUAUCAUUGCGAGUAGCCUUUGCCUCUAUCCACUUAGAAACAUAAUCAACAGCUAAGAGUAUAUAAAAAUUACCGAAAGAAGAAACAAAAGGACCCAUAAAAUUGAUGCCCGAUACAUCAAAAAUUUCACAAAUAUAAAUAAGAGUAAGGGGCAUCUCAUUGUGACGAAUAAGGUUACCAACUCUUUGGCAUUUUUCACAGGUUUUGCAAAAUAGAAAGGCAUCACGAAAUAUGUUUGGCCAAAAUAGUCCACACUCGAGAAUUUUAUGUGCGGUGCGUUUUGGUCCAAAGUGUCCUCCACAUGCAUAAGAAUGACAAAAAGUUAAGAUAGAUUGUACCCUGUUUCUGCUACACACCGUAAAAUUACGUGAUUGGAGCAAUGCUUCCAAAGGUAAGGGUCAUCCCAAAUGUAAUACCGAGCAUCCUUUUUUAUCUUAUAUUUUCUAGGCCUUGGUAAUUCUGAAGGAACAGUACCUGCAACGAGAUGAUUUACUAUGUCUGCGUACCAAGGAUGAACCACAUUUGCUGAAAAUAGAUUUUCAUCUAGGAAGUUGUCUUUCAAUGGUGUGUCGUCUACUUUAAUCGGUAAUCGGCUCCCUAAUCAGUCGAGGUUUUUGCAUACCUUUUUAUCCCGAAUUUCAAAAUCGAACUUUGUAGGAGCAGAAUCCACCUAAUCAGUCGAGGUUUUUCCUCCUUCUUCCCUAUUAAAUAUUUCAAAGCUGUAUGAUCAGAAAAGAUAUUCACUUUAGUUCCCAAUAGGUAAGAUCUAAAUUUAUCUAAAGCAAACACAACAGCUAAUAAUUCUUUCUCAAUGGUGGUGUAAUUGCUUUGGGCAGCAUCCAAAGUCCUCGAAGCAUAGUAGAUAACAUGAGGCUCUUUCCCCAUUCUUUGGCAAAGAAUAGCUCCCACACUUCGAUCACUUGCAUUACACAUGAUUUCGAACUGAAAGUUCCAAUCUGGUGGUUGCACUAUGGGAGCGGUGACCAAUUUCUGCUUCAGCACGUCAAAUGAGUCUUUACAAGUCUGGUCAAAUUCAAAUUCUUUAUCCUUUUGUAACAGCUUGCAAAGCGAUUGCGUGAUUUUCGAGAAGUCUUUCAUGAAUCGUCUGUAAAAUCCUGCAUGGCCAAGAAACGAACGAACUUCCCUCAUAGAUGUGGGGUAAGGUAAUGAGUUAAUAAUAUAUGUUUUUGCUUUAUCGACCUCAAUUCCUUCCGAGGAAACUAUAUGACCUAAAAUUAAUCCUUUUUCAACCAUGAAGUGGCAUUUCUCAUAAUUUAAAACAAGAUUAAAUUCUAGGCAUCUUUGUAAUAUCUUAGUAAGAUUAUCGAGACAUUUAUUAAAAGAGAUACCGUAUACCGUGAAGUCAUCCAUAAAGACUUCAAUGAUUUUCUCGACAUAGUCAGAGAAUAUGCUCACCAUGCAUCUCUGGAAAGUGGCCGGAGCAUUACAGAGUCCAAACGGCAUUCGUUUAUAUGCAAAUGUUCCGAAAGGGCACGUGAAAGUUGUUUGGUCUUGAUCCUCCGGAGCCAUCAAAAUUUGGAAAAAUCUUGAGUACCCAUCGAGACAACAACAAUGGGUUUUACCAGCUAAUCGUUCAAGCAUUUGAUCGAUGAAGGAAAGUGGAAAAUGGUCUUUCCGAGUAGCUACAUUUAAUUUUCUGUUUUCGAUGCAAACCCUCCAUCCAUUCUAGACUCGGGUAGGGACCAGCUCUUCUGAAGAGUUGUUCACCACUGUGACGCCAGUUUUCUUGGGCACGACAUGAACCGGGAUAACCCAAUCACUGUCGGAAAUUGGGUAUAUCAUUCCAGCAUCUAACAGUUUCUGGAUUCCCUUCUUUACUACCUCUAUCAUUGGUGGAUUAAGGCGCCUCUAAGCAUCUCUCUUUGCUUUCAUGUUAUCUUCGAUGGAAAUUCUGUGCAUACAGGUGGAUGGACUUAGCCCUUUUAUGUCGACUAUUUUCUAACCAAUAGCUUUUUUAUAAUCCUUCAGAACUCGAACUAGACUUUCCUCCUCGUCUCUGGUUAGUUUGUUUGACACUAUCACUGGUAAGGUGUCUUUCUCUCCCAAAAAGACAUACUUGAGGUGGUCCGGUAAUGCUUUAAGCUCUAAGGUUGGUGGUUACAAAACCGAAGGCAACAUUUUAGUCUGGAAAGGUAAUAGUUUAAAUUGGUUACCUCGGUUCGUCAACGAUGGUUGCGUCUCCAAGUGUUUGACAAUUUCUCGCAACGGUUCUUCUAUAAUUGCUAAUUCAUCAAGAUGAUUUAAAACAUCCAUGUCAAUACUUCUGUAAAGGACAGUUUCCAACUCAUCAUAGUCAUGACAUUUGAAAUAAGAUUGAGUUAAAAAAUCUAUACAAUUGAUACUAGAAAUAUUUAAUAGUGAGUUAUGAUGACCCAUAGCUUCGUAGACAUUGAAUUUCACAAUUUCGCCAUCAAACUCCAUUGUUAGUGUUCCGCUCUGAACGUCAAUUUUUGCGCUUGCAAAACUUAGGAAUGGCCUUCCAAGAAAAAUUUCAGAUGAAUUAGUUGAGUUAUAUUAAUAAUGUAAAAAUCUGCAGGGAAAACUAAUUCGUUAACUUUAACAAGGACGUCUUCAAACAGCCAUUCGGGAUAGACGACUGACCUGUCCGCCAACUGGAUUAUUACUCUUGUCUCUUUCAAAGGACCCGUGUUAAUCAACUUAUAAAUAUAAUAAGCCAUAACAUUAAUGGAAGCCCUUAAAUCACACAUGGCUUUCUUAAUGCCUACAUUACCAAUCUCACAGGAAAUAAAAAAACAUACAUUGGUCCUUGUAUUUGGGCGAAACUUUCUUUUGCAGUACUGCGAAGACAUUUUCUCCUACAUUUACUCUUUCCUUACCUAUUAACCUCAUCUUUCUAGUACACAACUCCUUGAAGAAUUUUGCAUAACGAGGGAUUUGUUUGAUAGCGUCGAGCAAAGGGAUAUUUACCCUCACCUUCCUGAAUAUUUCUAGGAUUUGUUUUCCUCCUUCUCUUUCUUAUCCUUUGCAAGCCUCUCUCGAAAAGGAGGUAGCAUCACGACUGGUCUCUGAAUUUCUGAUUCCGGUCUGACUUUUGGAUCAGAAAUCUACUUUUCCCAUUCCUUGUUUUGCCUAUGACUUUUUUCUGGAACUAUUUCCAAAACUUUUCUGCUACGAUGAGUUAUUGCACUUGCAUUUUGCCGAGGAUUCGACUCCGUCUGGGAAGGUAAUUUACCUUGAGAUUCCAAAUGAAUUACUAUCAUCGAGAGUUUACUAAUUUGAUUAGUUAACUCUUGUAUUGAUGCGUCUGUCCUCUAUUGGUAUUUUGCAGCAUUGAUGGCAAGCCUCUCUAUAACAGCUUUUAAAGAUAUGCUCGGCUUAGGUGGCGGCUGCGGAGGUCUUGGUUGGUACGAUGGAUUAUAUCGGGGAUUAGCUCUGUAAUUCAAGUUGGGAUGAUCCUUCCAUUAGGGAUCGUAAGUGUUGGAGAAAGGAUCAUAGUGUCUUUGAGGAGGUCCCGAAAAACCUCCGACAGCGUCGACAUGUGCCGUUGAAUUUUUGUUAAGGAUUGGGCACAAAUUCAUCGGAUGUUCAAACGUAGUACAUAUUCCACACAGUUGGGUCAGAUUCUUCUUUUCUGUAAGCAUAGAUUAAACAAUAUUAGUAAGCUUAUCCAAUUUAUCUUCUAAGGAUGAAACAGUUACUCCAUUAACCCGUCUUGUGGGUUCUGAAUUCGGCCGAUAUUGUUGAGAAUUUGCCGCCAUGGUGGAUAUCAGUUCUCUUACCCUUUGAGGAGUCAUAUUGACAAGCGUCCCUCCUCUAGUAGCAUCAAUCAUUUUCAUUUCCAUAGGGGAAAACCUUCGUAGAAAUACUGAAAAAGUGAUUGCUUAGUCAAACUGUGUUGAGGACAACUUGCACACAGUUUUUUGUACUGCUCCUAAUAGCCAUAGAGCGAUUCACUUUCCAUUUGGUGGAUUCCCACUAUGUCUCUCCUAAGUUCAGCUGCUUUCGAUGCUGGGAAAAAUCUAUCAAGAAAUACACAAGAUAAGUCAUCCUACAUUGUAAUAGAACCUGGGGGUAAGUAAAAUAACCAUUCUCUUGCUGUAUCAACUAAAGAAUAUGGAAAGGCCUGAAGUUUAAUUUCAUCUUCGAUUACUCCCAGAGGUUUCAUGCUUGAGCAGACUAUGUGGAAUUCUCUCAAGUGAGUGUGUGGAUUUUCGUUCUUCAAGCCUCAAAAAGUGGGCAAAAGGUGAAUUAGGCCUGAUUUCAACUCGAACGGGGUUUCUCCUAUUGGAUAGUUGAUACAUAACAGUGUCUGCUCGUUGGCAGCAUCGACUAGUUGACGAAUGGUUCGGUUUACCAUCCUUUUUGGUUCACUGAGGUUGUCUUCUGCUUCUUUUGUUUCGGGAAGUGGUUCGAUCUCAGGAUCAACCACCUCGACUUGUUUCCCACGUCGAAUUGCCUCUACACGAAUUACUUUUCUCAACUUUUCAACGUCGAAUUCUAAGAUCCCUUGUCCUAGCUCAACUUCUACUUUACUUGCACGUUUAAGAGCUUCUGUUUCUUUUCGUCGUGCUCGUGCUGAUUUCUUGAUCUCUGGGUCGUAUUCGAGAUUUCUGGAUGAAGAUCUGGUCAUGAAGACGAUUUAAACAAUUUGUAAGUGUUUCUAGUCCCCGAAAACGACGCCAAAACUGACGGGUGUCGAUAUCACCAAUAUGAACCUACGCCUAAUUUACAAUUUUAAGCAGUAUAGGGAGUAGGGUUGAUCCCUCAGAGACUUGGUAUACUGAAAAUUAUUUCUCUUUCUCGACCAGAUUUGUGUCUGGGCAGUUGUCGUUGCCAAAAAAUUUGGGGGGAAGAUAAAUUUGAAAACCUGGAACCUAAAAUAAACAGGGAAAAAAUGCGUGAAAAGUAAAAGCUGAAAAUAAAAUAAUAAAAAUAGUUAAAUAAAUCUGAAGAAAAAUUAAUUAAACUAAGCUCAGCUUUAGGCACGGGUUCUUCCUCGUCUUUGAACCGAUCCUCGAAAUUAGAUGAACUCCUCUUUUCCAAUAAGCUAGUUAUAGCUACCAAGGACGCCUCGGACACCAACUCUUCCUUGUGUAAAUUAGUUAUAGAACGUCCUAUAACUAACCCUUACCGAUCGAACAACCAACGAAACAUUCGUGAUUUAGAACUUCGACAACUUUGCGUUCUAGAAGAGCCUAGAUCGAACCAAUGUCCUCAAUAGUGUGGGACAUUUAAAUCUAGUUACAACUUCCCUUGAUGGAACCAAACAGCAAUCCCCACUUGGCACGCCAAUGUGUUAACGAAAAACCAAUCAGACAAUCGAUCCUUUCGGAAUUCCAACUAUACGUCUAACCACACUAACUCAAACGACAUCUUUUUAGACUUAGUGUUGAUCUGACUUUGUGAGUUGACAAAAUCAUACUCUUAAUCCGGAGAAAUAAUAAGUACUGGAAUUUAGGAGUUAAAUUGCUCGUGUUCAUAACUCACGGGUUUUGAUGGGGCUAAUUCUGACCUAAAGCUGAAAAUGGAUUUAAUUAACUAAGGUUUGGGGCAUAUUGGAGUUGGAUAAAUUAAAUAAGGUAAAAAUGGGUGAAAAGAAUGGGUGGCGUGAUUAAGUAUGGGGGCUGGAAUUUUGGUAGUGUAUUUAAAGUGGGAUGGUUAGCUACUGAAAAUGAAAAGGAAGUUUGAAAAAAAAGAAAUUGUAAAUGGUUUAAGUUGGUGACAAACUAGAAAUUAAUAAACUGAAGAAAAAGAAACUAAAAACAACAAAUAGCUUUGUGAGGAUGAAGAAGAGAUUGUAUUCAAAGAUGAAAGCUUGAUUUAUGACUUGAUGAAUAAAUGAACAAUGUGCCCACUAUUUAUACUAGUGGCUUUGAUAAAUUAAGAGCCACUAGUCAUAGAAAAUCAAGGAAAUAAAAUAUUCCAUGAUAAAAAAUCCCUAUAUAAUCUCCCACUAAGUCAACAAAAAUUUCAGCUAAUUAUAUCUUGGAAAAAAUUCUGCUUUGGCCCUCAUUCUUUGCUUCUUUCUUCAAUCUAGCCCAAUUGUUUCCUUUUUCUUCUAUUUAGCUCCAAAUUAAACCCCUGCACAAAAUUCAACAUAAACAUGGAAAAAUUAGUGGUGCACUCUCGUAAAUUAACCAAUUUAAUUACAUAAAAUAUGUAAUUUUAGCAUUUAAUCAGUAGAUUAACGUGAGGUCGGGAGAUCGGAUCAACACAUCAAGCCACACUAUCCAACUUAAUCCGGUAGCUUUUGUAAUGUAUACUUUAGUUUAUAUGACAUGCAUAGGGUUGGUUUGGAAAUGAAAUAAUUUGAAAUGCGGUUGUGAAUGAUAUAUGCUUGUAUGUAUGUAAUUAGUAGUACAUUUUGAAAAAUCAAUGAGAUGGAUUACAUAAGUUUGAGUAAAUUAGUAUUUGUGAUGUUAGGUCAUGAUUAAAACAUGAUUUUGGUUUGUGUUGAUUGAUUGUUUGGAAUGUAUUGACGUAUUAAAAUGUUGUGUAUAGGUUGAAAUCAAAAUGGGUGAGAAUAGUGGCCUUAAAAUGGCUUAUUUUAGUCCACACAGGUAGAGACACAAACGUGUGUCUCAGCCAUGUGUGAAACACAAGCGUGUGCUAGGCCUAGCACAGAAUGCCCAGGUUUUUGCACACGGCGUAGCACAUGGACGUGUGACCCUUGUACCUCAAUUUCAUUACACACGGCCUAGCACACGGAUGUGUGGCUUGGCCGUGUGACCCAAGUCAAAGAGUUACACGGGUAUGGACUCGGGUUGGGACACGACCGUAUGCCUUAUAUCAAAUGCCCACACGGCUUGAGACACAGGCGUGUCCCUUGGUCGUGUGAGUCUCACGGCCUAGCCACACGGGCAUGUGUCCCCUGCACCUAUGGAAAAUUUUAAAAUUUUACGAAAAAAUUUUUGAGUUUUUGAUUUAGUCCCGAUUUACUUUUAAUGCAUUUUUUGAGCCUCGAGGGCUCAUACAAUGGACAAUAUAAAUGUUUUAUGAGUGGUUCUUGAUAUGUAUAUUGAAUGUUAUGAAAUAUUUGUAUUUAAUCCGUAAAGUCUGGUAAUACUCUAAAACCUUGUUCUGGUGACAGAUAAGGGUUAGUGGUGUUAUAUUUAAUGGUAUCAGAGCUAUAGUUUAGCCGAUUCUCAGACUAAAUAUAGCGUGUAAAAUGUUUAGAAAUACAUGCCAUAUAAAUAUGUGAUAUUGUGAUGUGUAUGAUCCGAUCUAACCUUUUUUUCUUAUAGAUUGUAAAGAUGUCAAAAAGAUCUGAACGUGCUGAUAAUGAUGAAAUUGAUAGUAGAGCGUAGACAUUGGCACAUGGGACGAGUAGGAAUGUCUUAAUUCUUCCGGCUCAAGAACAAGAACUUAAAAAUAUGUUUUUUGGGUUAAUGAAUCAUUGGUUUAGUGAAUUUAUGCAAGAAAGAAACUUGGCUCAGCAACCUCCUCCCCUUACUGUACCACCUGUAGAGCCUCCGGUUGCAUCUUCACCUCCUCAAGUGACUGAAUCUAGUAAACGCAUUUCAAUAGAAAAACUUUAAAAAUGUGGGGUCGAAGAAUUUUAGGGUAGGUCAGAUGAUGAUCCAGUCAAAGCUGAAUAUUGGCUUCAGAAUAAAAUAAGAGUUUUAAAAAAAUGGCAUGUUCCCCCGAUGAUUAUCUGAGAUGUGAUGUGCCAAAGGAGAAAAUCUCUUGGGAAUUCUUUUAGAGUGAAUUUAGAAAUAAAUAUGUCGGCAAGAGGUAUUUAGACAAGAAAAAGAGGGAAUUUCUUGACCUGCGCUAAGGAAACAGAUCGGUAGCCGAGUAUGAGAGGGAAUUUGUAUACCUCAGUAAAUAUGCCGAAGAAAUUGUACCAACCGAAGAAGAAAUUUGUAUUAGAUUUGAAGAAAGGUUUAAUGAUGAAAUCAUAAUGAUGAUUGAGGGCACUGAAAUAUGAUAAUUUUUCAUUCUGUCAGAUCAUGCACAAAAGAUGGAAGAGGUGUACAACAGAAAAAUGUAAUGAGAUAGAUGGAAUAAAGAGUUUUACAAAAGAAGUUCCUCCAAAUCAUUUUCAGCAUUGCCGGCUAAAAAGUCUAGAGAUGAUUUCAAUCGAGCCACCUCAAUGCCUGAAUAAUCAAAUAAAAAUAAGGUGAUUCAACCUGAUUACGGGGUAUCUACUAGACCCGCUGCUAGUGUGGGUAGUGUGCAAAAUGCCCAUAAGGCUAAAUGCAAGUAUUGUGGAAAGUACCACUCUGGUCAGUGUAGGAGUAAAGUAGGGGCUUGUUAUAAGUGAAGAGCAACUGAUCAUUUCAUCUGAAAUUGUCCCCAAUUGUAAAAAGAGGAUGAAGAAAAAAAAACAAAUGGCCAUUUCUCAGAAAAGUAGACGUUUGGGCCAAAAUACUGCCACUGGAACUAUUCGUUCAGGUAUGAAAGAUUCUGCUGCUUUGUCAGAAACUAGAGCACCUGCACAUACUUAUGCUAUCCGAGCUAGAGAAGAAGCUACGACCCCAGAUGUGAUUGCUGGUACAUUCUAUCUCUUUGAUGUUACUGCAUAUGUAUUGAUUGACCCUAGGUCUACUCAUUCUUAUGUUUGCACUGCAUUAGUAACAGAAAAGAAAUUGCCUGUUGAGUCUACCGAUGAUGAUAUUCAAGUUACUAAUCCAUUAGGCCAAAGUGUAAUAGUUAAUUUAAUGUGUCGUAAUUGUCCACUGAAAGUGAAAAGCUGUGAAUUCCCUACUGAUUUAAUGUUGUUACCCUUUCGAGAAUUUGAUGUUAUUCUGGGAAUGAAUUAGUUAUUGAUGCAUGAUGCCGUAGUAAAUUUUAGACAGAAACAGAUUGAUUUGAACUGUCAGACAGGAGAAGUGAUUUCCGUUGAGUCUGAGAAUCCGAAAGAAAUUGUUAGAAUCAUUUAAGCUUUUACACCUCAGAUAUUGAUGCGAAAAGGUAAUGAGACAUUUCUAGCCUACAUUCUUGAUACUCGAGAUUCUAAAUUGAAGCUAAAACAGUUACCGAUUGUUAAUAAGUUUGAUGAUGUAUUUCCUAAAGAAUUACUAGGUUUACCACCUGAUCGUGAAGUUGAGUUUGUGAUUGAUGUGAUUCCUGGAACGAAUCUGAUAUCAAUAACACCAUAUCGUAUAGCACCAGCUGAAUUAAAAGAAUUAAAGGCACAGUUGCAAGAGUUACAAGACUGAUGGUUAUUAGAUCGAGUAUGUCUCCAUGGGUUCUACCUGUUCCAUUUGUGAAAAAAAAGAUAGUUCUUUGAGACUGUGUAUAGAUUACAGACAGUUGAACAAGGUUACAAUUAAAAAUAAAUAUCCUUUGCUACGUAUCGAUGACUUUUUUGAUCAACUGAAAUGUUCAAUUUGUUUGGUCCGAUGAGUGUUAGCAGAGCUUUGAUCAGUUGAAGAAAAUGUUGAUAGAAGCUCCAAUCUUGGCUCAACCAAAAUCGGGUGUACCGUAUAUUGUUUACAGUGAUGUUGUCUCUAAAUGGUUUGGAUUGUGUACUAAUGCAGUUAGGAAAGGUUGUGGCCUAUGCUUCUCGAAAAUUAAAGUCGCACGAGAAGAAUUAUCCUAUACAUGAUCUUGAUUUGGCUGUAAUCGCAUUCGCUUUGAAGAUUUAGAAAUAUUAUUUAUACGGUGAGAAAUGUUACGUGUUUAAGGAUCAUAAAAGUUUGAAGUAUUUGAUGAAUUAGAAAGAGUUGAAUUUGAGAUAGAGAUGGUGAUUAGAAUUGCUAAAAGAUUAUGAUCUGGUUAUUGACUACCACCCAGGAAAGGUAAUGUGGUUGCGGAUGCACUUAGUCAGAAGUCGUCAUUGGUUGCACUUCGAGCGUUGAACGCUCAUUUAUCUCUUAAUAAAGCUGGUUCUGUAUUAGCAGAAUUGAGAACGAAACCUCUGUUUCUUCAACGAAUUCGAGAAUUGAAAGAUGAUGAUCCGAAAUUGGUGUUGAAAAGACAAAUGGUUUAGGAAAAUCUGAGUUCAGAGUAUAGCAUCGAUGAUAGUGGUAUGUUACGUUAUCAUAAUAGAAUUUGUAUUCCUAAUAAUUCAGAUUUGAAGAAUGAUAUUCUUUUUGAAGGUAGUAUGUACUCCAUUGAUCCAGGUAGUACGAAGAUGUAUAGUGAUUUGAAACGGAUGUAUUGGUGGCCAAGUACAAAACGGGAAAUUUGUGAAUUCGUAGCUAAGUGUUUGAUUUGUUAGCAAGUGAAAGUAGAACAUCAGGUACCAACGAGUUUAUUACAACCAGUCAUGAUUCUUGAAUGGAAGUAGGAACAUAUCACAAUGGAUUUUUUAUCUGGUCCACCUGUGACUCUGAGAAAGAAAUAUUCCAUGUGGGUGAUUGUUGAUAGGUCGACUAAGUCGGCAUAUUUUAUCCCAGUCAGAACAGACUUUUCACUUGAGAAGUUAGCGAAAUUGUAUAUAUCAUAGAUUGUGUGGUUACAUAGGGUUCCAACAUCUAUCAUUUCAGAUCAAGAUCUGAGAUUUACAUCGAGAUUUUAGAGUAAACUACAAGAAGCUCUGAGCACCAAGUUAAAUUUCAGCACAGCGUUUCAUCCUCAAACCGACGGGCAAUCAGAACGAGUGAUUCAGAUUCUAGAAGAUAUGCUGAGAUGUUGUAUACUCUAAUUUAGAGGUAGCUAGGAAAGAUAUUUACCGUUGGCUGAAUUUGCAUAUAACUACAGUUAUCAAUCCAGAAUAAAGAUGACACCGUUCGAAGCUCUUUAUGGGAGGAAAUGUAAGACGUCAUUGUAUUGGUCUGAAUUGAGUGAAUCCAAACUAGUAGGAGUUGAUUUGAUCCUAGAAACUGAAGAUAAAGUUCAGAUUAUCCAGGACAUUUUGAAAGUUGCUUCUGACUGUCAAAAAUCGUAUGCAGAUUUGAAAAGAUGAGAUAUAGAAUUUGCGGUUGGUGAUUGGGUAUUCUUAAAAGCUUCUCCAUCGAAGAAGGUGUUACGAUUCGGUAGGAAAGGAAAUCUGAGCCCAAGAUUUAUCGGGCCAUAUGAAAUUAUUGAAAGAAUCGGCCUUGUGGCUUAUCAAUUAGCUCUACCUCCGAAACUUGAGAAAUUUCAUAAUGUGUUUAAUGUAUCGAUGCUGAGACGGUACAGAUCUGAUCCUUCACACAUGAUUCAUCAUAGUGAGAUUGAGCUGCAACUAGAUAUGACGUAUUUGGAAAAACCAAUGAAAAUUUUGGCGCGAUAGGUUAUAGACUUGCGAAAUAAACGAGUACCAUUAGCAAAAGUAUUGUGACAUCGUCAUGGUUCGGAGGAGGCUACUUGAGAAAUAGAAGAAUUUAUGAGAUCACAAUAUCCGAACCUAUUACCAGGUAAGAAAUUUCGAGGACGAAAUUUCCUAAAAGGGGAGAGUUGUAACGGCCUGAUUUCAGUGGUGUUGGAAACAAUGGUUUGAGACCACUAAAUCUGACGAGUAGCUCGUAAAUUUUAUUAUUUAGUAUUUACGAGUCAAAUGUGAUUUUAAAAAGAUUUUGAAUUAGUAAUUUGUGUUUUAUAAGGAUUUAUUAGGUUAAAUGGUUUAGAAAAUGAGGUAUCGAGACCUCGAUUUUAUAAACUAAGUCGUAAAUAUUUUUACAAAUAUUUACGGAGAGUCAUUAAGGUAGUAUUAAAGUUUCGUUAGAAAAUUUUAACGUUUUGAUAGUUAAUUAAUUAAAAAGGACUAUAUUGAAAAAGGUGCAAAACUUGCUAAUUAGAAAUUAUGAUUAAGUAGUUUAAAUAGUAAAUAAAAGAGGACUAAAAGGGCAAUUAGACAUACAUGAAAUGGCUGGGCAGCAUGAGUGUAGAAAAUAAAUAAUGAAAUAAUGUGAACUAAGGGUAAAAUUGUAAAUUUUGUAAAAUUAAACAAAUAAAAUAGCAAUUAAAGGAUUUUCUAGACAUUUCUUCAUCAAUAUUCUGCCAAAAACAGCCAUAGGAGAGCUCCUAAAGUUGGUUUUUCAUAGUUACUUCAAAUGAGUUCAAUUCUUAUUUAUUUCUUGUAAUUUUUUAUGUUUUUAAGACUUUUACAAUUAGGUCCAACUAUCUAUUUCAAUAGUUUUUUAUUUUAUUGGAAAUUUUGGAAGUUACCAUUGAUGAAUAUAGGAUGUAUUAGGUGAAUAAACAUAGAUUUAGAGCUUUAAUUUUGUUGUAUGAUAAUUUUAUAAAGUGAUUUUGAUAGUCUAGAAUAUUAGGGUUUGGUAUUGAAAUUCUGAAUAUCAAGAGCUGUAUAAUAGUCUAGAAUAUUUAGGUAAGUUAUCAAUUGAGAAAAAUUAGCUCAUUUGAUAGACAAAUUAGUAAGGGACUAAAUUGCAAAAAUUAUAAAAGUUAGGGUAAUUGUGUAAAUCUAAAAAUUAAAGGGUAUUAAUUAUGAAGUGAAUUGGAACUUAAAUAUAUACUAAUGAAUGAAUACUUUAUAUUUUAGAUCAAGAAGCCGUAGAUACUCGUGAAAAAGAGAAAUUAGCAGAAUAGUCCCUAAACUUCUACAAAUCAUACAAUUUAACCCAGGUAAGUUCGUAUGGUUAAAGUUUAAUAAUUAUAUUGAAUUGAUGUAUGAUAUUAUGUAUUUAGUAUAUUAUUGAAAAAUGGAAUAUUAUUAAAUUAUGAAUUUGAAUUGAAUAUCUAAUUUAAAAGGAACGCGGGAUUGAGUACAAUUGUUGUAUGGCGAUCAGCAAAGGAAGAAUUGAUGGUAAAUCACCCAAGUAAAUCAAGGUUCAAAAUUUGUUGUGAACUUUCAUGUUUACUUUCUGUUUAGCUCUCACGAGAUUCUGUUUAACUCAUAUGAGUUUCUGUUCAACUCUAAUUAGUUUCCGUUCAGGUUUUUUGAGCUUUUGUUUAACCCUUAUGGGUUUCCGUUCAGUUCUAAUGAGCUUUCGUUCAACCCUUACGGGUUUCUAUUUAGCACUUAUGUGCUUCUGUUUAGUCUUCGGGCUUCUGAAAAUGAUAUACUCAUAUCCGUAAGUUAUUCUUCAAUUCGGUAAGAUUUGGUAAAGGACUUAUGUGAUUGAAAUUGAAAGAUUUAUCGUUUAUUAUUGAUAUUGAUUUGAAAGAAGUGUGUUCAUCAAUUUAUGUUGUGUAUGACAGGGAGAGUGCAUGAUUAAUUUACUAUUUAAUUUAUUAUAUUAAGUUUGGUAAGAUUUAUAUUUAAAGCUUACUUGUGUUGUUUAAUGUUCUUGUAGAUUAACGUGAGGUCGGGAGAUCAAAUCAACACAUCAAGCCACACUAUCCAACUUAAUCCGGUAGCUUUUGUAAUGUAUACUUUGGUUUAUAUGGAAUGAAUAGGGUUGGUUUGGAAAUGAAAUAAUUUGAAAUGUGGUUGUGAAUGAUAUAUGCUUGUAUGUAUGUAAUUAGUAGUAUAUUUUAAAAAAUCAAUGAGAUGGAUUAAACAGGUAAGUUUGAGUAAAUGAGUAUUUGUGAUAUUAUGUCAUGCUUAAAACAUGAUUUUGGUUUGUGUUGAUUGAUUGUUUGAGAUGUAUUGAUGUAUUAAAAUGUUCUUUAUAGGUUGAAAUCAAAAUUGGUGAGAAAAAUAGCUUUAAAAUGACUUAUUUUCGUCCACGCGGGUAGAGACACGGGUGUGUGGACUGGCCAUGUGUCCCCUGCAUCUUUAAAAUUGAGAAACCAUAUGCCCAGGUUUUUGCACACGGCCUAGCACCCGGGCGUGUGGCUUAGUCGUGUGACCCCUGUACCUUAAUUUUAUUACACACGUCCUAGCAUAUGGGCGUGUGGCUUGGCUGUGUGACCCAAGUCAGAGAGUUACAAGGGUAUGGACACGGGCUGGGACAUUAUCGUGUGCCUCAUAUUGAAUGCCCACACAACCUAAGAUACGGGCGUCCCCUGCACCUAAGGAAAUUUUUGAAAUUUUGGAAAAAAUUCUCUGAGUUUUCAAUUUAGUCCCGAUUUACUUUCAAUGCGUAUUUUGAGCCUCGAGGGCUCAUACAAUAGACAAUAUCAGUGUUUUAUGAUUGGUUCCUGAUAUGUAUAUUAAAUGUUAUGAAAUGUUCGUAUUUAAUCCGUAAAGUCCGGUAAUACUUCGAAACCUUGUUCCGGUGAUGGAUAAGGGUUAAGGGUGUUACAUGGAGAAGGGAGGAAAACAGAGGGAGAAGUAGAAGAGAAUGAAAAAUAAAGAAAAAAAUGAAAGUUAAACGAACAAAAAAGAAAAAAUUAAAUUGCUCAAAACAAAAAAAUAUGGGGACCAGUUGUAUAAAUUAACGUAAAAUUUUUGUUUGAAAUGAUGAUUUAACGUGCUACGUCAGCUUACCAUUACACCGUUAACAGAAAUUAACAGCUCAAUGACUAAAAUGUUACAUCGCGAUAACGUACCAUUUGAAACAUAAGUGACUAAAAUGGAACCUGAGGUAAACAAAAAUGACUAUUUUGGUAGUUUAUCCAUAAAAGAAUGAUUAAUUUUGUCCUAACAAUUUCUUUUUACUUUGGCUUAAUGACAAAUUUGGCCACUAAUGUUUGCAUGUUUUGUCAAAAUGGCCGUAAUUGUAUUUUUGAGUCUACUUUGGCCAUCAACCUUUGAUUUUUUUUUUCAAACUGCAUUUUCUAACAGAUUUAAUGAAUAAAUUCAUUGUUUCAAUCUUUCUUUUCUUUCAAAAAGUUUCAAUUUUUCAGAUGUUUGUUUAUUGAGAAGUUUUUCUACUAAGUUAUUUUUUUAGAUUACGUUUAUUUUUUUAAAUUAAGAGUUAAUUUUUAACUUAAUGUAUUAUUUAUUUAUUUUAUUAUUUUCCACAUGCAAUUAUCUUAUUGGGCUAUCUAAGUAAUGAAUUACAUCUCAUUAAAAAUAUUCCACACAUAAAAUUUCACACAAUUCCCGUUAACUUUUUUUAACGGUACUUUCAUUAAAAUUGUUAGAAAAAGCAAAUUGAAAAAAAGAACAAAGGUUGAUGCCUAGAAAAGGCUCAAAAAUACAAUUAGAGCCAUUUUGACAAAACAUGCAAACGUUAAUGGCCAAAUUUGUUAUUAAGCCUUUUACUUUCUAUUUACAUGGAAAAGUAACUUUUUUGCCAGUUAUCAAGUGAAUCACUUUCCAUUGCUUGUGGUAAAGUAACUCCCAUGAGAAUGUUACAUUCCUAAGGAAAGUAAAUUAAUUUUUUCAUAUCAAAUAUUAGAAUCACAUUCCAACCAAUUAAAUUCCUUGAAAAAUAAUAUCUAUCCAAAAACACUCCUAAUCCUAAUGUGGAAAUUUUUAUUUUAAUUGACUUAUCAAUAAGUAUGGAGCCAUCAAUCUCAACACCAAAACUGAUAUUGCACCUGAGACUAGAGUUUAUCAUCCUAUUUCAAUUUUCUGUUACUUUACAUAAUGUUUUCUCUUAUUUAUAUUUAUUUCUUUAUUUUCAAAAUAAUUAACCCCCUUUAUUUAUUGAGUUAUGCCCAGGACUAGAGGCGUUCAUGGGUCGGGCUGGACUCAGAAAAAAAUUUAGGCCCACUUUCUAGGCUCGGGUCUAGCCCGGCUUGAAAUAUGGGCCUGGAAAUUUGUUCAAGCCCGGCCCGAAAAAAAUUCCUAGGCCCAGCCCAACUCAACCCGGCCCGUUUUUGACAUGAUUUAAAAUUUAAAACUUAAUUCUAGUAAUCCUUUGCGUUUAAACAAUUGAGAUUAAACAAUUUAAAACUUAACAAUACCUAAUAAACCUAAACUUAAAAAUUGAGUUUAAACAAGUUAAAACUUAAAAAUUCCUAAUAAACCUAAACAUAAAAAUUGAGUUUAAACAAUUUAAAACAAUUCAGUUUAAACAAUUUAAAACUUAAAAAUUCCUAAUAAAUUAGAGUGUGAAAACGCAAACAAAAAAGGAAUAAGAAUUGAAUGGAACAAAAACAUUUAUUAUAUUUCAAAUUUAUAUAUAAACGUAGAAAGCAUAAUAUUGUAUAUAUAAACCUAAACUAGAAAACAUCUUUUGCGUUUAAACAAUUGAGAUAGUCAUACUUAUUCUAUAAGCUAAAUUACAUAUGUACCAAAAAAGAAAUUAAUGAAAUUCAAACUGCAUAAAUCCAAUCCAAAUUCAUAAAUAGAAGCAUCUCCAUUUCUCAAUCUCAUUAUUUUCCUACUAGUAGAUAAACAAUUUUAGCAUAACAUUACCAUAAUUUAAUCAAAAUUUAAGUUUUUCUUUCCCCCUAAUAUUUUGGAAGUUCACUUUUUUUUCAGAGGAAUCAGUAAUCAUAACAAUGUUUUGAGAUAAGGACACAAACUAUCAUCUAGAAAAUCUGCUAAUCCUGCAUUUAAUUGCAAAAUGUUGUACAAAGUAAAAUAAAAGAAAAUCAAAUUAAAUUAAAUUAAAUUAAAUUAAAUUAAAUUAAAUUCUAAAAAGAAAAUGUAAAUGAAAGCUUAUGGGAAAUGAAGCUAAGGUAAGCCAAAUCGAUUUCAAUGUCACUUGUUUCUGCAAUAAAACAAAGCAAAAACAAAAAACAAAAAAAGAUGAGAUUAAAUGAAGAAACUAAGCUUGUGAUCUCAGCCCUGCAAAUUACAUGCUCUAUAAAACAUAAACCAAUUCUCAUCCAAUAAUAAUUGAAUAACACAAUUUUGCUCUUAAUUGUGCUCAGCUACCCUUAAUCCUAUAGCCUCGUAUUCAAAUACAAAACUCACCUCAGGGCAGAGCAAUUUUACAGUAAAGAUAUACAUACAUACAUACAAGUUGCUUUCUAAAAAUGAAAAAACAAGUUUCCCCGGAACAUAAUGAGUCUUAAUAGGUGUUUCCAGAUUCUAAAAAGAGAAUAGAUACUUCUGCAAAGGAUCAAAGAGAGAAAAGGAAUAAUAAUUAUUUAAGGAAUAAAAAAAGGUUAAGCCUAUGGUUUAUUUAUUUAUUUUUGCCUAACCUCAAGUAUUAAUGGAACUAUUUGAUUAGGACUUUGAGCUUGCCUGACAUGUUCUCCAGCUAUAAUAUUGAGAAUUUAGUACUGUUGUUUGGAUAAAACCUUUAAGCAUAAUUUCAUCAUACAUAUAAAUUAUUUAUUUUUCUAUCAUGUUUUUUCACAUUAGAAUGUAAACAUAAUUAAGAAAAAAAAAAUCAUUUUAAGAUGAACAUUUCAAAUGGAAGAAAAUCAAAAUCAGUUCAUCAAUCCAAAAAUACCAAUAUAUCAAAAAUACCAACUUGUAUAUUCCAGAUUUAAUCCCCCUCGGGCGAAGAUUCAGUGUCUUAAAAUUAAAAUCAGAAAACCACCAUAUAUCAUAUUAUCAAAAUACCAAUCCUUCCCUAGCUAUUAGCAAAACAUCCCAAACCCUAACCCUAACCAGUAACCACCCAAAAAAAUUAUUCCUUUAUCAAGAUAAAGGAUCCAAACAACAUCAGUUUAUGAAUUACAGGCAGAAAAUCAAAGCACCCUAUUGGUCAUAUAACAGAGAUCAAUCAGUUUAUCAAUCCAAAAAUAAAAAAGCAAAAAGCAAAAAACAUGAAAAAUAAUUUAACUAAUUAACAUGCGGAAAAGGUGAGGAAUUGAGGAUUUACAAAUACAGAGGGGAAAUAAUUCGAGAACUAACCUAUUUAAUAGAAUAUGAAAUUACAGUGUAUUGACAGCCUCUAACCUCUGAUUCUAACACUGUUGUUUGAACUUUGAUGAGUUGAUUCUGGAAUUGGGUGGAGGACCGGAGGUGGAUCGGUGGAUUGAUUUUGGAAUUGGGAAAAAAAAGGGAGGAGGGCGCGGGCUUAGGGAUUUUGGAUCGGUGGAAGUCUAGAAAAGUGGAACUGUGGAAGUGACUUUUGUUUUAAAUGUAGUGUAUUUUAAAAAUAAAAAAAUAUAUAUAUAUUUAUUAUAUUUCGGGUCGGGUCGGGCCGGGCCCAGGCCAAAAAAAUUUUACCUGAGGAAAACGGGCCUCUUUUUUGCCAAAACCCAUAUUUUGGGCCUAUAUUUUUACCCGAACCCUCCUAUAUUUUGGGCGGGCCGUCGGGUCGGGCCAGACCGCCCAACCCAUGAUCUCCUCUACCUAGGACUAAUAUUUGUCGCAAUAGAAUUUGAUUCUUAUCCAGGACUUGACUCUAUUCCUUUAUUGUAAUUUUAUUUUUCUAGAUGUAGGAAAUUAAAUUUAGUGGAUACUAUUCAAUAUAAUUUUUUCUCCAAAAAGAAAAAACAAUAUAGGAGAAAUAAUUUUUAUACCUUCUUAUCUUUUUUUUUAUUCCAAAAAGUUAUUUUCUUUUAAGUCCACUUACAAAUAUCUACAAGAAGUUCUCUAAUGUUUAAUCCUGUAGAGCUGGCCCAGUAAAUGCGUCUUUCGGCUUAACAAACAAGCCCCCAAAUCUGUCAUCUAUGUGAGUUAUGAUAGCAUGGUCAACAUUGAUAAGCAAGAACUAAUUGGGACGGCUUGGGGACUGGCCAACAGUAAACAACUGUUUCUGUGGAUGAUUAGGCCUGGUAUGGUUCGUGGCUCGGAAUGGAUUAAAUCAUUGCCAAAUGGGUUCCAAGAGAGUGUAAGAGAAAUAGGUUGCGUCGUGAAAUGGACACCUCAAAAGGAAGUGUUGGCUCAUGCUGCAGUGGGUGG
rnacentral:lncRNA from 1 species